rnacentral:lncRNA from 1 species
AAAAACCACCCCAAGCCCAACAACCACACCUCUGAUACUGGACGGUAGCCGGUGGCGAGAGAAAUGGUCAGAGGUCCGACGAGACAGACAGUGAGAGAAAGCAAAGGCAUUACUAUUCUACGAUGGUACGGUUCUUCAGUGUGGGGUCCGUCGUGGUGCUGGCGGUUCUAGCCGCGUCGCUGGUGGUCCUGCCGUUGAUGCUGCCGCCGCUGCCUCCCCCGCCGCUGAUGCUUCUCUUCUUCCCCGUGGGCAUUAUGGCCGCCCUCAUGUUGUUGGCAUUCUCGCCGACGGACGCCGCCGGACACGUGGCAGUUUGGGCGGUGUAGGUGGAGGAAGCUGGUUGGGUGGCUCCGAUUGUGGUUACAAUACUUUGCCUUGUUUUUUUUAACAAAGUUCAGAAUCAGUGGAUAAUGAUUUUGUCUCAGUGCUGACGUCAUUAUUGUUGUUCAUCUUUUGAAAAUAUAUUAGCUGAAAGCAGAUUCAGAUUCAGAGUGUUUUGUUUUUGUUUUUGUGUUUUCAAAAUUAGAAAGUGAUUUAGAAAAACAAAGCUUAAAACAGCUGUGUAUGAUGAUCCAUGAAUGAAUGAAAGAAAGAAAGUAAGAAAGGAUGAUUCAGAAUUUAAAUGGAAUGUGAUUUGUGAAAGGAUGGAAGUUUGGUUGCUGUUUUGAAAACAAAAAACAUUAAAAACAUGUUUGAGAAAUGGGAUGUAUUUUUAUUUUUUUGUAUUUCUUGUGUUCUUAAAAACCAUUUGAGAAAUAUUUUCAUUAUUUUUUUAUUGUUCACGAAACUGUAGGUGAUUUUUUACUAUUUAAGUAACUCUUUUUUUAAAUAAAAAAUUAUAAUUAAUUUAAAAUUUUUAAAAGAAAUCAUUUUAUUGAUUUAAAUGAAUUAUACAUAUAAAAAUUAUUUAUAUAUUUAUAAUAUCAAAUUAACUAAAAAAAAUAUUUCAUUAAUUAAAAAAACAGCUUUUAAGUAUAUUUUUUAUUUUAUUUAUUUAAAAAAAAUUAUUAAUUCUAUCAAAUGCAUUUUUUUUUUGUUUUUGAGAACAAAAGUUGUUUUCUGGAAUUUAGGUUUUAAACAUAAUUUAAAAAAAAAAUCAAAAACUAUCCUUAAAAAAUGUUAUCAAAAACUGUUUUUUAAAGAAUAGCUUUUAAAAACAGUAAACAAAUAGGCCUAUUUAUGAUUUUGAGAUGAUUUGAAAACAUACUAUUUUCUCGUGCAUCAGCUUAGGAAGCAGUGCAGAGAGGCAGUGAAAUAGGAUUUUUGAAGUUAAAAAAUUGGGCGGUGAGAACUUGAGAGCAACAAUAAAGUAGGAAAUAGAAUGGAUUUCUCGUUUGUUCCAAAGAUCCAAACAGAUCUUUAAAGGUUGAUACUCUGCUUCACAUUUAAAAAUGGUCUUUUCUUCUUAAAAACAGAUCUUCUAUUUUUAUGACUCAUUGUAAAAAGGGGAAUCUCUAAUAAAAAUUCGUUCAACUUUCUUUUUACAUUCUAUUUUCUUUUCCUUCUUCUUCUUCUUCUUCUUCUUUUACUUUAUUAUUUUACAACAUUAUUAUUUUACAACAAACAAUAUGUUCUCUUUCUUAUUUAUUUUGAAUUAAUUGGUUAAAAGAUAUUAAAUAAUCCCCUAUUUAUGAAUUUAAUAUUUUUCAUGUUUUUUUCUUAAAGAAUAAUCUAUUUUUGAUAUAAAUGUCCUUAAUUAUUUUAAAUAUUUAUACAUAAGUUUUAAAAGAAAUGGUUAUUUUUAUAAGAAAAAAAUAAGAGCAUUUUUGUCAAAAUGUGGUAAAAAAAUGAUGAAUGAUUAAAUUUUCAAAAUGGAGUUUUCAAUAACUCUUCUAAUCAAAUAAUCUAUUUAUUUUUCCAUUGCUUAGAACUAAAAUCUUGAAAUAUGAUUUUCUUUGAGAAAAAUUUAAGGAAAACAAAUAAAGAGAAAAAAAUAAAUUAGAAGCUCCUCAUUUUUUUUCUAGAAUCAUUUGUUUUUCAUUUAAAAUCUUUAGAACUUAAACAUUGAUUGAAUUAAUACUAGAAAAUCAUAAAACUAAAAAUCAAUCUAAUAAGAGUACAAUUAAAUGUGAUUAUUGGAAAUGUUUUUAGUCUAAACAAUGUUUUUUUUAAAAAAAAAAAAAACUAGUGUUUGGUAAAAUUUAGGAAACACUUAUGAGUUUGAUAGUGAUUUUAGGAAGUAUUUUUAGAUUUUCUAAAACUUGAAAAUUUUUAUCUUGCAAGUAUAAAAAAAGUUAAGAAAUACUUCCUAGAAUCACUACCAAACACACGAACAUGUUUGGUAGUAAUUUAAGAAAAUGUUUUUAACAUUUCUAACACUUGAAUAAUACAAAUUUUAAAGUGUUAAAAAGUUUGGAAACACUUCUUAAAAUCAUUACCAAACUGGUUAUAAAUAGUGUUGAAAAAUCAUUUGUAAUAUUUUAUAGAGAAACAUAAUAUGUGAUUCUUCCAAAAAUACUUUAAAAAAAACAUUUUCAUUAAAAACUCUUCAAAAGAAAAACGCUAUUAAACACACUCUAAAUACCAUAAAGUCGUACUAUAAAAGCGAUUUUGAAUGAUUUUAUUAGCUUCUCUUUACAAUGUAAUUAAAACAAAAAAGUAACUUUACUAUAAAAAUUUAUGAGUUAAAUCUCAUCUAAAAUGACUUCAUUGUUUUUACUUUGUAUAUAAUUGCAUUUUUAUGAUUUUUUUUUCAUUCGAUAAAUGAAUUUCAAAUUAAAGGAAAUUUAAUAUAUUGUUAAUGAGUUUAGUAAUUUUUAAAAAUAUCUUAAAAUAAAAUAAAAAAAAACCAAAUCAAUGUAACAAAAUAAUAUAAGAAAAAACCUGGUAUAAAACAAAUUAUCUUUACUAUUUUUCCUUUGCAUAUAAACAAAUAAAUUCUAAAUCAAAAGAGACCAAUAAAUCAAGGAAGACAUAAAGGUUGUUUGGUAAAAUCUAAUAUUUAUUAUUUAAUUACUUAAUUUUACCUUAAUUUAAAUUAUUAUUAAGUUAUUUACUUAAAACCUAUUAUUUGGUUUUUACUUUAAAUAUUAAAGGUCUUUAUUAACUUAAAAUUUAUUAUAAAUCAUCGAAUUGACAUAAUCACUCUUAUGAAUCUUAACUAUUAUUUACACUGAUUAAUUUUAACUAAUAUCUCAUGCUAUUAAUUUUAAACAAUGAAUUAGUUUGUUAAAUAUUUAUAUUUAAAAUAUUACAAAUACAUAAAAUAAUCAAAAGAUAUUUACUAUAAAAUUCAAUCAUGGAUGUAGAGUUAUACUCAUAAAAUAGACACUCACUACAUAUGGGUAAAUGAGAUAAAAUAAAUUUGACAUUAAAAAUAAGUUAAUUAUUUUGACUUAAUAUUUAAAAGUUAUUAUUAACAAUAUUAAGUUAUUUUACUAGAUAUGUUUAAUCUACUUAAUGAUUUAAAUUAAAUUAUUAAAUCAAUAAAUUAACUUAGCAAACAACCUAUUAGAGUCCAUUUGAGAGUACUUUAAAAAAAAAUGCUUAUAGUUUAAAAAGAACUUUUGAAGAAAAAUUAGGUGUUUUGACAAAAUUUGGAAAACUCUUUUUAAAAAAUUGAAAGAAUCACUUAUAGUUUUUCAUAGAUAAACAUUUGAUAAAUGAUUAUUUUAAAAAUAAUUUUAGAGAAAAUAAUUCAACUAAAAGAACUUCAAAUAUAAAUACUCCUAAAUAUGCUCUUAAUGUUUUGUUUUUAUUUUUAUUUUUAAUUUUUUUUAUUUCUAACGAAUCUAUUAAUUUUUAAUAGUAAUUUGAAAUUUAAGUUACUGAUUCAAUUAAUAGCGUACUAAGUAAAAUUGAUUCAAAAUACUUUUUCUAUAAUUGAGCAGUAUAUAUGUACAUAGAAUAAAAAAGCUUGAGUAUAUAUAUUUUUAAAAGAUUUCACUUAGUUUUAAAUUCAUUUUAAAUAAAAUAUUUUAACCAUUCUUAUUUUAAAAGAUUAUUCAUUAUAUAGAGAAUUCAAGUAUGAAUUUACAAAUGUAAAUAUCCAUAUUUUAUAAUAUCUAAUAAAAUAAUAUAUUUUUUUAAUAAAAAUAUUAUUAAUGAUUUUAUGAUAAUAUUAGUAUUCAUACUUUACUAAAAAAAUAUUUAUUUUUAAUUAUGAAACCAUUUUUUUUUAUUUGUAAUAAGACUUGAAUUGAAUUUAAUGGAUAUUAACAUAAAUUGAAAGUAAAAAUAAAAAUAAAAAUAAAAAUAAAUUAUUAAAAUAUAUUUACUUAAAUGAGUUUUUUUAUUUUUUUAAGAAAUAUUUUUUAAAAUAACUUUUCAAAUACUCUUAUUUUAGAAAAUACAAGAAAACUAUUUUUGUUUGUUAUUUAAUUUGAAAGUAAUUUUUAAAAAUAAAUUUUAGAAAACAUGCCAAACUAACAUGUACUUUCCUUGCCUUUUCACUUUGAACUAAGCAUAACAAAUCAUGGAAAAGAAAUAUGAUAUCAAUGAUAUCAUGUCAAGUUAAAAAUUGACACAAAAACUUGAAUGAUUAGUUAGUGAGUAAAUGAUAUAUCAAAUUUAUUUGAAUUAUACUCUAACCAAAGUAUCUCAGCUGAAUAUUUAUGAUUUUAGGCAAUAUUUGGUUUAAAAAUUAAGUUGGAGAAAAAUAAAUUACUUCAAAAUAGGAGAGCCAUUGCUAGGUUGCAGGGUGGGAAAUCCAUCCAUUACAUACUUGAGCCUACCUUUGAAAGCGUCGUAACAAAACUGCAAGGGAUUUAAGAUGUGAUAGCAUAGAGAUUUCAAAGAAGACUAGUCAUGCGUACAAAGGUAACACCUCACAAAAGAAGAGAAAUUUACUUCGAUCAAAAGUAUGUGAUUAAGCCUUCUAAUUUAUUUAAUGUCUCCAUUUAUCAUUACAAGAAGGUGAUCUUAAUAUUAGAGUAGAUCCAAAGAGAUAUCGUUUGGAGUGAGGGAGCAUUUGUAAAAAAGACCUUAUUGGGUAAAUUGGCUCAUUACAGACUUGGACAAAAAGAAUGAAAGUCUUGACAUUAAAAAUUUAUUUACUCCAAAUAAGGCUUUCAUUGACAAAUAGAGUUAAAAUUCACAAUUAAGAGAGUCACCUUGGGAAUGGGCCAUGAUGGAAAAGUUUGAGGAAGAAGAGGGAAGAUAAUGCUUGAGGGGUGUGAGGGAAGGUUUUGGAGUGGGGGUGUGCAAAGUAAUUAGAAAUGAUGAGGGUUUUUAAAAGUAUAUCUCGUUUCAUAGUUGGUAAUAGAAGAAUAGUUAAAGUUUGAAACGAUAGAAGACAUGGUGACAUCUUUAGAAAAGUUUUUCCCUUUUCUCUAUAGCCAUCAUUAAAGACUCUAAGGUAGUAGAGGUGUGGAAGCAAGUAGGAGAGGGGUUAGUAUGUAGUGUGGUGGCCUAUCUUUGAAAGAGCAUUUCUUGACUUUAUUUAUUAUAGUCAUCGCUAAAAACUCUUGGGUGGUAGAGACAUGGGAACAAGUAAGGGAGGUGGAUUAAUGGAGUUCCCACUUCUCCAAAGAGUUCUAUGAUUGGGAAUUUGAAAGAGUAGAGACCUUUUUUAGAAAAUUGCAAACAAGCUCAAUUACAAGAGACGAGUGUGAUAAAAUAGAUUGGAAGAAAUCCAAUUAUGACAAGUUAUCUAUCAAAUCUUUUUACUUAUCCUUAGCCUGUGGAAUACGACAAUUAACCAUUUUCCCACAAGCACAGUUUGAAACUCUCAAACUUGCUUAAGAUUAAGUUUUUCAUUAGAAUAUUCAUCUCGACUUAAAUAUUAGAUUACAGGGCUCUACAAUCUCAUCUUCAUACAUUUUAGAAGAUUAAAGAAAACUACCAAAAAAAAAAAAAAAAAAAACCAACUAAAAACAACUACAAAAAACCCCAAUAAAAAACAACCGCAAAAAAAUCCUAACCAAAAUUCCACCACAAAAAACUUCAAUGAAAGUUCCGAUAGAAAAUAAUUGCGAAAAACCUCCAAUGAAAGACAAUUACAAAAAACUCCAACUAAAAAAAAUCAUAAAAAACCCUAACAAAAAAAAAAAACAUUGUUGAAGUUUAAAUAAAAUUUUAAAAAAACCAACAAAAAACAACCUCAAAAAAUCUCAACAAAAAACAACUUAAAAAAUCUCAACAGAGAAGCCAUUGCAAAAAACAACCACAAAACCCCUAACAUAAAGAGAAAUUAAGAUGAAUGAUAUUAAAAAAGAAAUAAGGAUGUGAGAGAGUUGUAGUUGAUUUUUAUUCAUUGAUCUUCAUUAUAGGUUUGGAAGUUCACUAGAAGAAAAGAGAGCGUGUAUGUAUGAAAAAUGAGAGGAAAAUGAUUCGAGCAUGAGAGGGAAAUGACAUUUUUGAGGAAACAAAAAAGGGUAAUAAUGUCCAAAAUGGAGACUAUUCUUCCAAUUUUAAAAAUAUUUGAAGUUUUUUAACCGAAUAUCUCUAAUUUUUAAUAUAUUAUAAUAUCAGAAUAUUAAAAUAUAAAACACCCAAAAUUUGGAUAAAGUAAAUUAUAAAAUUUUAUUUUAUUGUUGAAUAUAUCUUUUUAAAUAUGAUUAUGCCAUUUAAUAAAAUUAGAAAUAUUAAUAUAUUCAUAUGUUAUCAAAAUCCUUUAAUAUGUCAAUACCAAUGAUAAAAAAGAUGAAAUAUCUUUCAGUUUUUUAAUAUUAUAAUAUUGAAGUAAAACUUAAACCAAUGAUCUAAUUGAAACAGAGGAUUCAGAUGUAUUUUGCAAGUCCAAAAGUAAAAUACAGAGAAGGAAGAAAGAAACAAGAAGAAAGUAAUAGGCUUGUAGCAGCAAUGACAGUGAAAGAGUGGUACACUUUUAUUAAACUUCAAAUCCAAGUCAAAGGAAUAAGUCCACAAGUACAGCAAACAAUAAGAUAACAAGAAAGAGGAAUGAUAUACACAAGCUGCAUACAUUCUUAUUCCCAAAAGAAAUUUUGGUUACCUCAUCAGCUGUUGAGUCCAGAGUUUGUAGUUGUGGGCUGUGGGCAAAUAUUUACAAGCAUACUGAGAAUUCAAGGGCUGCAUGCAAUGUUCAGCAUGGACAAAUUAUUCAACUGUGUGUAAUAUAAAACAAGAUAUAGGCUUCAACACAACAGAGGCAAUAACAUUUGAGCAGCCCAUUUUUCUGCCUUUUUUGAUUCAGCAGUGCAUGGGUUUUUGAGGAAGUUUGUCUUCAGUCCACUUCUUCAACAGCUCUAGCGCAGCUCAGGGCUGACCAGCAUCAUGGACCUGUUUAUUUUUACAUACAAACCAAACCACCAUGUCAGCACUAGCAAUCAUCUACUUCCUUCAUAAGUCUACUGCUAUGUGAGAAAGAGCUGGUUUGAGAGAGAGACCUUGAGGAACAGGUCUCUUUCAAGUGUAUGCAGCAAUGCCUUGGCCACCUCUAUACUUUCUGACAUUUUUAUUUUCCAGCUGAUUUCAAACACAAAAAGAAGAAAAGGAAGAGUGAAAUCUUAGAUGAGUGAUGCUGAAUGCUAAACUUGUAUAAGGGUCUAUUUGGCAGCAGAGAUGAGAAUGCUCUUAUUUUUUUUUUCUGAGAAUGGAAGAAAUGAAAAUUGAUUAAAAACAUGUUGAAAACAUGAAACAUUUCCAAAAAAAAAAGAAAAAAAAACAUGUUGAUAACUCAAAGUAACAUAUUCAUGCUUGCCAAUCUUCAAUCUUUUUGAUCACUUUUAUAAUUGCAGAAAAGAAAGGCCUAAUAAGCAUUCACCACCUUCAUCAUUCUUUUCUUCUUACCUGAGAGAAGAAAUUCUAAAAAUGAAGCACUAAAUUUAAAAAAUGAGGCAGUAACUUAUCCGGCUUACCCAAAAAGUGUUUAGAAAACAGAUAAUCAUGAAUUGUUGAGGUCAAGAACAUAUCGACAUGCAAAUAUGUUUCUUGAUUUUUGGAAAUUUUGGGUUUCACCUGCAUCUUCUUUUUAUUCUUUCUUUCCUAAAUGUAGAGAAGAAACUUCCACUCUUAAUCUGAAAAUGAACUCAGUAUUGGGGCAAUGAAAACAGGAGCUGCACAUUGUGAAUGGGCAAGGCUUACCUUACUGAAAAAAGGGGAAGAGAUAUCAUUGCCUUCAUUUCAAGCAGCCCAUAUGAUGAAUAUCUAAUGGCAGGCAAUGGAUGUGGGAUGUCUUGAUCUGAAAUAAAGAAGAACAGGUCAGUUAAGCAUGUGAAAAGAGUCUAAACACAGUUUUAGCUUUAUGUUUGUUCUAUUUAUUAAGAACAUAAAAUCAUAAGCAAAUUUCAAUAGAACAGUAGAACUAACCAUGCUUGUGUGGAACUGAGGCCAAUGAGUUAAAGAGAAAAUGCCAAUUAGUAACAGCUGCUAAAGCCAUCUAUUCAUGAGAGGACAAACUGGAACUGGGAUUGAGUUCCAAAUAGCCAUACCACACCUGAUUGAGUUUCCUUUUUUUUUUUUUUCAUGAAGAAAACCUGGAAUUCAUCUGGAACAUUGUUAUCAGUCGCUUAUCUCAAGUCUUGGAAGUGUUUCAGGAAGCCCUUUGGACUGGAGCUUAGGGUACCUAUAGAUGGAUAUACUUUCAAGAGAAGGGAGGUUUUUGAAAGCCAGAGAGGCCAUGGAAUCCAGUUUACUAAUCAAAAGUUUGCUUAAGAGUUGUAGGAAAAAGACAGCCAUCAUCUGAUAGAGAAGCCAGACCUGGACAUAGGCUAGAAAUAUACAAUGAUGAAAGAGAAGUAAGUGAGCCUGUCCUGGUUAGCACACAAUCUCUGAUAGAAAGUGCUGCAGGGUUGGAGGCCAAACUGCAGAGUCCUCUUCUUUUCCUAGUUAGCACAAUUUUCUAAUUUCAAAUAUUUAAGAUUGCAAGGCUGCCCUUGUUCCUCCAAGGGUGCAAGUCCAUGGCACUGCCAGAUCCCUAUACAUUCAAGACCACCGAGGAGGCAUUCUAAUCAAAACCCGCUCUGCUACAAAGAUGUCACCUCCCCACACGCUCUUACCACUGGUUUUUAAAAUAGGAAAUUUCUUGAUUUUAAGCAUUGAGAGUGUUCCGGGCAACAGCCCUUUCCUUUAGCAAACAUGGCCAGAGAAUUUCAAUGGUAUCAAAAGUAGAAACUAGAAUUUCAAUGGUAACAAAGUACAAACUUGUAUUUCAAUACUGUCAAAAGUAGAAAAUUGUAUCAAGUUCAUAACAAUUGUCUUUUAUGAAUGAGAUGGACUUUGCUUCCAUUUUUGUGAUAUAUAUGGAAAUAAGAUUCAAUGAGUUUAUUCAUUUGUGAAAAGCAGUCUCUAUGUAGGGAUGUGAACUAUCUUGGACUGAUUUCUAUAUUUGGAAGCGUGGCCAUCAACAGCCCUUCCUUUGGCAAAAUACACCCAAGUUUAGAUGGCUCCUAGUACUCCAAGAGGGUUAAGGCUGUGGAGCCACAUGGAUGGAAAUCCUAAUUCAGUGGUCUAUUAAUUGAUGAAAUCUAUGAAUAGAUUGUAAUGACACCAGCCAUGUGGAUAUUGUUCUCUUUGGCCCUUUGGACCUUUGGGUGACUCAAUAGAGGGGUACCUCACAAUUUAUAAUGUCCUGCUUACAACCAUGUAGAUAUUGUCUGCUUUGUACCCAAGGGGUCUUCUUGGCUUUAAAACAUGUCUACAUUGUUAAGAGAAACUUAUACAUAGUGCCAACUGUCAAGAAGUUUUUCUCUUAUCUGAUGUGGGAUAUCUUAUAGAUUAUAUUUAGAGGAAGCACACACAUACUCUGUAACAGUGAUGAAAUUUUGAAGAGAGGAGAGUUUAUGCAUGCCCACUUGGACAGGGCUCGAUAUUCCUGCAGUCCAUGAUGCAAGGUGAUACUAGGUUGAAGCAACAACCCCAUUUGAACUAACCAAAUCUAUGACUUGAAUUAAAAUUUGCAAAAACGAAAAAGCCACUUCUUUAGGUUGCUGGCCUUACUAAAAACAUGUUUUGGAUAAAAAGAAAGAUGGCUAAACACUACAACCAACUUCCAAGAACCUUUGGAACCAGAGCAAGCAAAUGAUCUCGACAUAUCGUAUUAUAACCUUAUCAUUAAUAAACAUCAAACACUGCAUAAUGCCAUGCCAGUUUCAAAGAUUCAUAAAUGUAAUGCACAUUUAUAAAGAACCAUAUUUAAGGCAUUAUAUAUGCUUGUGUGCUUAAAAAUGACAAACUCUAUAGGGAAACUUUAAAAAUAAAAGAAGUCUUACCAGAGUCAGCCAUGAAAUAGCAUUUCUGGGCUGAAGUGACCACAGUCCACAAUACUGCAAAAGAUGAUAGAAUUCCCAAGGAUCUUUAAUCUUGAAAAUAAUGUAUCCUUGUAAUGGAGGAUUAUGGACAAGAGCAACAUGGAAAACAAAAAAUUUAAGAAGAAAUACCAAGCCAUGAUUGCAGCAAGAAAUGAAGAACAUACCAGCAAGUGAAUAGGCAGCAGUUAAUGAUUAGGAAGUUUUGCAUCUAAUAAUAUUCACCAUUUCUUUUUUUUUUUCCUUCCUACAAAUUGAGAAGAAAUUUCUAUUAUUAUCUAAAAGAGGAAUCGAUAUUGGAUCAAUGAAAUUGGAAGCCAGGUAUCCUAAAGAGGCAGACAUACCCAUUUGUUUGCAUUCAUUUCUUUACUAGGGAAAGAAGAAUCCUUAGGAAGAACAAUCCAUCAUAUUGCAUAUAAGAAGAAUUGGAAACACAUAAGAAUAGACCAAUUUGGAGGCCAUGAUGCUGAUAAAGGUGGAAUAGAAUGUUAUCGAGGUUUCCUUCAUCUGAAACAUAUAAGUAAUAUACCAAUUAGGCGGGGCAAGAGGCUGCUGGAAGUAUGUGUUAUUUAUAGAAAGACAAAAUUACAUUAGAAUUAAUAGAAAGGUAGAAGUAACUAUGCUCACCCAGAACUGAGGCCGAGAACAAAAAGGGGAAUCAGAAAUUUAAUAGAAAGCCCCCAAUUAAUACCUGCAGCCAAGCCAAAGUCACCUAUACAUCAAGAGAAUGGAUCAUGUCUCAUCUCUCUCUCUUCUUUUUUCUUUGUUCACCCUGUCAAUACUUGCCAUAUCCUUAUUAAGCUGGAUCCCUGUAAAUGUGCAAUGAAAAUUGGCAGUCCAAUUAGCAUGGAAAAAACAGAGAGAACCUCAUACAUAUAUAAACAAGAGCUCUUUUCAGAUAGUUUGUACAUAGUUGCUUUAUAAUUACACUCCAAGUGGUUGAAGGAGUAAGUUCAGAUAGAAAUUGGAGUAAGAAACAAUGUAAAUAUUUAUAAAAUUAGAAAUGUUAUACCAUGAAGCUAUUUGGAUAAGCAAUGCAACAUUCCUCAUUCUUUCAUUCAACACCAGCUUUUUAGCCCUUUGUUGCCAUGGUUAGCUUAAGAUUCACUGACUACCAACAUAUGUUUACUUCUUUCAUCUUCUCCUCGAGAAGUUUAAGAAUGAAUAUGAUUCUUUUCCUUGGUUAAAAGAAAUGUUUCAAGUUUCAAAAUACAUUUUUGUUCCACAACUAAAAAAUCCUAACAUUUGAAUGGAAAUUCACAUCUGGGUAUCCAUGUCUAAGUCCAUUAAAUAUACUUCUAAGACAAUAAUAUUAAAAAUAUGAAAAUAAAAAACUUCAAAAAGAAAAAGGAAAAAGAUAAACAAAGAGAAGUGAAAACCAGGUUGUACCUGAAUGAACAAUGCAAGGAUAGGGUUGAAUGGCUUUCUGUUUCCAUUCUUUUUCCACCACCCGUAGAAUACUUUACUCUGCCAUCAAUUUUGAAUUUGGGGAUGUGGGCAAUGGAGGGAAAUUUCGUUUCUUGAAGAAGAGGACAGCCGAUGAUUUCAAGACUUGCAAGUGUUGUUGUCCAGAGUCUUAAGGAGUGGAGCCUAGGGCAGCACCCAAUAUAUAGAUGUUGAAGGGAGAUGAUGUUUUUGAGUUCCAGGGAGGUCAGGGAUUCCAUAUGGUUGAUAUGGAGGUUUGUGAGAGAUGUAGGAAAAAGGCACUUAUUGUCCCAAAGGGAAGCCUUGCCUGGAAACAUUUCCCAAAUCUUCAAUGUUGAAAGAGAGGUGAGGGUGUGGAGGCCCCACUCAGAUAUGGGCGUCUUCAGAUUCUUGCAAUUUAUAAUUGAAAGAAAUUUUAGGUUGGGGGCCAAACCCUCUUCUGGGAAGGACUUCACUCCCGGAGAAUUCUCCAUGUUGAAAACCUGAAGAGAUGUGAGGCUCUUCAUUUGACGCGGCAAGCACUCGAGAUUCUCACAUCUCCAAAUACGGAGCUCUCUGAGGUUGGGGGCCGAAAACCCUCUUUCUGGAAACCCUCUUUCUGUGAAGGCAUUCUGGUAGGAUUUUCAGAUUGGGAUAACCCCUCAACUCCAAAUACUCAAGAGCUGUAUUAUUGGGCCACAUUUUCUCUGAUACUGGCUCCAAGUUGGAGCAAUGCCGAAUCUCAAGCCGCUCAAGGGUGGGGGGUAACUCCCCUCUUGGGAAGAACUUGAGAGACUUGCAAUCAUGUAUCCUCAGUAUUUGAAGACAACAAUCGUUGUUGCUGUGUAUGGAAUUGCGGUGCAUCAUUCCAUCUGGUAGAUACUUUAGCCGUAUACAAUCUGCAACCAUCAGUUGCUUGAGGGUGGAGGGUAACCUACCAUGUGGAAAGCAGAUGAGAGAUGGACAACACCUAAUCUCCAAGGAUUCAAGGGGACAUGAGCUGUAGUUAUGGGGCAGCGACCUCAGGCUCCUGCAUUUCUGCAGCACAAGACGUCUGAGCAUGGGCGGCAAACCUGUCUCUGGGAAUGACUCCACUGCUAGGCAUCCCAUCAUUUCCAGCUCUUCAAGACAAGUGAGAUUCUGCAAUCCAUUUUGCAGGCUCUUCAGGUUGACGCAUAUCUUCAACAUUUUCAGAUUGCAAGGCAGUCUUUGGUCAUCCAAUGAUACAAGCCAGUCACAGCGGCCAAUCACUGCGCUUUCAAGACCACUGCAAACCCACCUAGAUGUCAGCUGAUCACCAUUAUCUGCAACCACCCCACUUCUCAACACCAUAUCCUUGCAUUCUUCUAUAUUUAGUUCACCUAGAGAUGCAAAUCUUGAGAAAGACACUGCCAGAUUUCGACAUUUAGAGAUGUCAAGUUUCACCAAGGAUGGCAGGCAAUCAGGCAACUGUCUAACUAACUUUGAGCAUUUCCUUAUGGUAAGGUCUCUUAGGCGUGGAAAUAAUUCAACUCCUUCAACUGCAUUAGGAAAAAACCAGUCUUCCCAUUUCGGCAUAUUCUCAAACUUUAGAAACUCCAGGGAUGGAAAAGGCUGGGCAAUCCCUCCAUAGAAUUCCACAUCUAUGGUUCUAAUAUCACUCAUCCCUUCAAUAUGCAAGGUCUUGAGUAAGGAUAAUUUGCCGAGAGAUGGUAACGAGGUGCAUCUCCUGCAAUUCUUUAGAAUUAAUUGUGUCAUUGAUGGGAAUGAGGGGUCCCUUAUCCAACCUGAAAAUGUUGAUCCACCAUAAAAUGCCACUGUGAGCCUUUUCAAGUUUCUAGGUGGUCGUAGCCCCUCUAAAACAAUCAUCUCAUUCAUUCUUUUUCGUGAAUUACCAAAAUCACCGCCCCAUUCCAUUGUCAACUCUUCAAUGUAGUGCUUUUCUUCUAAAUUAGCAUGCAUUGCAUCUCCAGUAUCCACCACAUUAUGCAACCCAGAAAUGGAAAGCUUCCCUCGAAGGUCCUGCAAGUUCUUCAAUUCUCUUAUUCUCAAACUAUCACUUUCUCCCACAAUGUAUUUAGAUAAUGUUUGCAAAUUUGUGAGUUUGCUGAUGGAAGGUAUCUCCUGUAGUUGACUAGUACCAGAAAUAUCAAUAUGUCGAAGGUUGAUUAAGCCUCCAAUCACAAGAGGCAACUUAGUGAGUCUCCAACAAUCGGAUAAUAUUAAUGUCUGUAGAUUGUAAAGAUGACCCACGGAGUCAGGUAACAUUUUUAUUGAAGAGUUGGACAAAUUGAGAUAACGUAGAUGUCUCAAAUCACCAAUUGAAUGUGGUAGCUCUCCACUUAUGUAAUAGCCACUUAAAGAUAAUUCACGUAAACAUUUAAAUUGCUGUAUAAAGUUAUUUAUUACCUUAUUUGAUAUGAAGUGAUAUCUAGAAAAGGCAUUCAGUGGCAAUGCAACCAGUGUUCGCAAACACUUCAUCUUAUGAAAGACUUUGAAUCUUUCAGGCAUCUCAUACUCUUGACUAUUGAAAGAUAAAUGACGAGCCUUUUUAAAAGUGGUGGAUUGUUUGUUAUUCACUAAUAUACCCUCCAAAUUAAAGCAUGUUUCUCCUGCUAUAUAUUUAGCUAGAUCAUUGAUUAGGUCAUGCAUCACAAAUUGAGAUGAAUUGUGAUUAGAUUGUUGAAAAAAUGACCUUGACAAUAAAUCAUAGAAGUAUUUAGAACCCAAGUCUUCCAGCCGGGUAUUUUCCUUUGUUUGUUGAAGAAAACCCUCGGCCAUCCAUAAUUGGAUUAACUCAUCCUUGUCGAAUUCAUAGCCUUUCGGAAAUAUUGAACAAUAGGCAAAACACUGCUUCAAAUGAGAAGGGAGAUGAUGGUAGCUUAACUUGAGAGCAGGAAUAAUGCGGCAUUUGUCUUUGGGUAGAUCCCAUAUCUUACUUGUUAAAAUAUUUUCCCACACAUCAUGACUUACUUGGUUGCGCAACAUGCCACCAAGGGCCUUUGCUGUCAAAGGCAAACCCUUGCACUUUCUCACUAUUUCCUCACCAACUUCUUUCAAGUGCGAAUGAACAUCAAAGUUACUUUUCCCUAAUGCUUGUUGAGUGAAUACAGAUAAACAAUCUUCGUAUGAUAACUCCUGAAGACGAUAAGCUGGGAGAGUUCGAGUGAUUGAUACAACACCUUCAUUGCGAGUUGUGACAAUAAGCUUACUACCCGGUGUCCCUGAUCUCAUUGGCAUGCACAAAAACUCCCAUGAAUCAUGGUUCUCAUUCCAUACAUCGUCUAGGAUAAGAAGAAAUUUCUUCCCGGAAAGGUUCUCCCUUAAUGCCAUCUGAAGCAAAUUAAGAUCAUUAACAUCCUGAGUAUUCGGAGAAACUGAUUGUAGAAUUGUUUUCGUGAUCUUCAAGACAUCAUAAUCAUCAGAAACAUAGACCCAAACUCUCAAAUCAAAAUGAGCUUUUACUUCAUCAUCGUUGAAUGCAAGUUGGGCGAGAGUAGUUUUGCCAAUACCAGCCAUACCGACAACAGGAAUCACGCAGACUUCAUCAGUACAUGAAUCAUCCCUGAGUAACAAGUUGGCUAUGGCUGCUUUAUCCGUUUCCCUACCAUAAACACGGGACUCAUCCACUAAAGAAGUGGUGGGAAGUAUUUCCCUUGUUUUGGUAGACCUCUUCCCAGCAAUAUUCUCUGUUAAAUGGAGAUCAUUUUUUUGUGCAGAAAUUUCUUGUAACCCGGCGGUGAUCUUCUUGAAUUUGGACCACAUCUCCGCAUUAAACUUAAUAGAAUUUGGAGUGAAACUAGUACAACAAGAAGGGAUGAGGCUCCGUAACUUACUUGUGCUAGGUUGAGUGCCAGAAGGAAGGGUUUCCGCCAUCAAAUUGCGUCGCAAAGCUUCAGUGGCGAAGCUGUCCAAGAUGUCCUCCACAUCAUAAGCCAAGUCUCCGAGCUCGUCAAGCCACAUCUUCACCAGGGGGUCCGUCAUAUGCUUCUCCUCUGCGUCAUGGAGGACUACAUAGAUCUUCGUCAAAAUUUUCUUCCACUUGUUAAGCUCAGAAUGGACGUGCUCUUCGCUAGCGAAAUUCCAGAGCUCAGGGGAGGUGACCAUGUCAAUCAGUUUCUGGAUGAGACCAGACAAAACAGCUUCCCCAACAAAACCAGCCAUGAUUCUUUGUUUGUAAGUAGAAAGGAAUUAAUCAAAGAAAGUCUCUGCAGCUCUGAAUAAUGGUUUGUAGGAGGAACCCAAGGGUUUUAAAGGAAGUCUCCGCAACUCAUAUUGUUGAGUCAACACAAAAUAUCUCUAAGGUUCCAUAAAAGGGAAUGGAAUUAAUGCACAGUAGAAAGUGGUUGUGGCGAGGGCCCACAUGGUGUGGAUGAAGUACUAGAGUGUUGCUCCACAUGGGGCUGGUUCCUAGAAAAUAGAGAAAGUUGUGUUUGCAAGUAACAUGACAAUCAAACUCCAAUCAGCUAGAAUAUGAGAUUUGACUAUCAAAGGGGAAAAUAUUAUCUUUUUUGUGCACUCUUUGCUGACUCCAUUUUAUGUUCUUAGAUUGCCCCUCCGUGCCUCCAUGUUAGUUGCAACUUUAUCUCCAUAUCAGCAACAAGCCCUCUAUGUCACAAGAGAGACUGAAAAUUUAAAAAACAGAAAAAUCUGAAUUUGAAACCUAUGAAAAAUCACUUGAUUUGACAACCGGCUGUUAUUUCCCUAAUUUGAAACCUUUCUUCUCUCUGAUUUGGGAACAUUUCUCUCUCUCUCUUUCUCUCCCUCUUGGUUUCAUCACCCACACAAUCUCGAGACCUAUCUAAAAUUUCCCAAAUAUUGUCUCAUUUAAGAGAAAAAAAAAGCAAUAAUCCAAAACUCCAACUUGCAUGUUUUUUUAUUGUCCACAUAAAAGUGCAACGAAAUGGAGCAUUCCAUCCUAAGAAUGUGUGGUUAAAAGACGACUUCAAGAGGCGCAUAUGUGAUUGUGAGUUUACUACAGCAGCGCAUACUCGAACGGAAAGUUGGAAUCCAAAAUAUUGGCUUCGUCAACAAGAUAUCUCUUACUAUCAUUGAGUCACAUUUUGCCCUAACCCUAAAUUGAAAUUGGAAGGUAAAUAAUUUUUAUUUAUUGUUCUUUAGUUCCUUUGUUUGAAAUGGAGCACAUCAACGAUUUUGGAGUCGUUGGUGGACUUGAACUUUUGUGUUGGGUUGUGGAAAUCAUAUUAUUCCCAAAAUAACCAUAUGACAUACAAGUUGCAUUGAAUCCAGAUGGAACUCACAACAUAUCCGGUUGCAAAUCGCAUUAUUAUUUUAGGGAUUGUACUUUAGGUACUACUUUAACGGAGCUUAGGUAGUAUCUUAGUUAAACUUGGGUAGUACUCGUUCGAAGCCUUGGAACUUCAAUUUUGGACAUUACUUACUUCAUUUGUGACUCUUAGAGCAUGCCAUUAUGUGAUUAUUUAGUGUGAUGAAAUGGUUCACCUUUCUUAUUUUGGAGAUUGUACCUUAGGUACUACCUUAAUGGAGAUUAGGUACUACCUUAGUUAAACUUGGGUACUACUUGUCCGAAGCCUCGGAACUUCAAUUGUGGACAUUUCUUACUUUAUUUGUGACCUAUAGAGCAUGCCAUUAUGUGAUUAAUUAGUAUGCUCAAUUGGUUCACCUUUGUUAUUUUGGGGACUGUACCUUAAGUACUACCUUAAUAGCCCUUAGGUACCACCUUAAUCAACCUUAGGUACUACCUUAAUCGACCUUAUGUACUACCUUAGUUAAAGUUGGGUACUACCUAUCUGAAGCCUCGGAACUUCAUUCGUGACCCUUAGAGCAUGCCAUUAUGUGAUUAUUUUGUGUGGUCAAGUGGUUCACCUUUGGUAUUUUGGGGACUGUACCUUAGGUACUACCUUAAUAGCCUUUAAGUACCACCUUAAUCAACCUUAGGUACUACCUUAACCGACCUUAGGUACUAUUUUAGUUAAAGUUGGGUACUACCUAUCCGAAGCUUCAGACCUUCAUUUGUGACCCUUAGAACAUCCCAUUAUGUGAUUAUUUAGGGGUUUUUUUGGUUUCCAUAGGCUGAUAUGGAAAUAUUGGUAAAAUAGAAACCCAUCUUAACAUUUACUUUUUGUUUGAAUGAUUCACUUUUGAAGGGUGAUUCAUCAUAAGGCAAUGCAUGAGAUGAUAAUGACAUGUCAUUUGCUGCUAUGCCCUCGACUGGAGUUGAAGAUGCAUCAUCACAAACUAAUGAAAUAGGUAAUUUGGACUAUAUGCUUAUCUUUUCAAGUAAUUGUGUUAAAUUUUAUUUGCAGUUGAUGUAACCCUUGUAAUCUUUAUUGGUUUGCAUCUUUGACAAGAAUGUUAAGAUCUUUGUUUUCAAUUUUCUUGUACUCAACCAAAUAACAAAAGUUAACAUCUUUAACAAAAAUGCAUUUCCUUGAAACAAAACCGAAAAAAGUGCAUCCAAAGUUCAAACAACCUCAUGACCAUAAUUUUUUAUUGUAGUAUGAGCACUUGUUUUGCAGGAAAUGAAGACUGUAAUCCACCAGCUGAAGAAGAAAGAACCAAUGAGAGAGACAUCGGUUUGGACCAAAACCCGCUUCACUCUCUUCCACACUUGAUCAACUCCUCAACACUAAUAGAUAGUCUUCUAAUGCAAAAACGCAUGAGUUUUUGUAGGUGGAUCAAUGAUAAUGAGCCUAAUGAUAUUUGUACCAAGCAACUCAUACUAGCUACAAUGAUGCAAUUGAAAAAAGUGAUACGUGAGAUGGAUACACACAACAAGAGCAGGUGGGAUGAGAAGCCUGAAUGAAGACCUUUUUGGUUGUUCUGUAUCCUUUUUAUGUUUUCUUUCUUCAGGAGAAGAUGACUCUAUUAUGUUUUUUGUAGUUUUUUUAGAUGAAUGUUAGUAUGGUUCCUAUGGAGAAAGGUUAAAAAAAAUUGAGGAAAGAAAAUAAAUGUUUUUUUAUUUUAUUUUAUUCCCAUUGUCCUAAAAAAAUAUAUUGGAAAAUUUAAUUUUCUCUUAUUUGGACAUUAUCAUGGAUGAUCAAACAAAGAUAACAACUUUCUGAGAACAGGAAUAAUACAGGGUGUACAAGAAGAUUUUUUGGAGAAUGUCUGGAAUGUAGGAGGAGAUGCCUCAGACAAUGCUUGGAAUGUUGAAAUGUGAAAUGGAAAUGACAACCAAACCCACUGUACUUUUCUCACAAACCAAAUGCACCCAAGACAAAUGACACAUUAGAAUCAUAAGGAACAAAACAUAAGCCACUUUCCUUAUUUUAAGAAAGAAAACUUAGGAUUUGUAUGCAAAUUGUUUAAAUAAUAGUUCUUAUUAUUUAAAAUAGAAAAUAGUAUUUUUACUUAGAAAAUAUAUUUAAUAAUUUUUUUAGAAGAUAAAGAAUGAUAGGAGGAUUUGUGUAUUGUAUAAAUGUAUGGUUUCUUUUAGGGAAAAUAAGUCAAUGAAAUUGUUUUUUCAUUAUUUAAGUUCCCAAUAAAGGGUUUUUUUUUUUUUUUUUUUUUUUAAGGUUUUGAAAAAUAAUAAAGAAAAAAGAAUUCCUAUAAUUUUAUCGUCCAUGAUUAAAUUAUAGAUGAGGAAAAUUUCUUUGCCCUUCUUCUUUGUUUUAAUAUUUUUUAAUUACAUUAUUUUUGCAUUAUCCAAAUAUAAUUUAUAUAAAAAAACAAACAUAAUUUAAAUAAUUAGAAAUUUAUUUUUACUUAUAUUGAAAAAAUUUGUACAUAUUAGCUUUAAUUUAAAUUUGAAAUAUGCUAAAAUUUAAUUUCCCUAGAUACAGUUUUUAACUUUACAUCUCAACUAAAAUUUAUUCCUAAGCUUAUGAUGUGUUAAAAAAUCUCAAAUUGUCUUAUGUUGUGAGUUUUAACAAACAAAUUGUCUUAUGUGCCAAAUGUUUGAGUCAUCAUUUUUAGUUUAACAAAGUUGAUAAUAAUAAUCACAUAGUACCUAUGAACACUACGAAAAUAUAUUACUAGACAUUGAUAUUCAUAACACAUUUCCACAACCUAUGUUAAACUAGAUAUUACAAUAAGCAAAACACAUGCUAUAAAGAAGCCAACAAAGAAACUGAUUACAUAUGUAUAUGAAAUAUUUUGCAAGGAAUGCUUAUCAUCAAAUGCAUGUUCAGACUUUGGUUUGCCAGCUGAUGAACAUUCAUUACUUCUAUUCCAUCUUGGUGCAUAAAACAGCUAAACUCGGACAACUUUCUCUCUAGAAGUAUAUGCUUUGUAAACAUUCCCUUUAUAAAGGAGCACAUUCUUUUGACAUUAAACCCAAGAAUCGUACACUCCAUGUCUGCCACCUGCAAACACUACAUACUAUGUUUGCAUGUUCAUCAUCUGAUGACACAAUUGUUGUUGGUUACUUUUUGAUAAUCAAUCAAGUAAUGACUAUUGCAAAAGAUAGUACAAAAGGUAUAUAAUUCACACAUGUAUACCAUAUAUAUUUUAGGAUAAUAAUAGUGAUGAUUAACCACAAAAUUCAAAAUAUAACAAGUAAUGUGUGGGAUUCAAGUUCUAAGGCUUCAUAUAGGUAGUACCCAACUUUAACUAAGGUAGUACUUAAGAUUAGUUAAGGUAGUACCUAAGAUUGAUUAAAGUGGUACUUAUGGGCUAUUAAGGUAAUACCUAAGGUACAAUCCCCAAAAUACCAAAAGUGAACCAAUUGAACACGCUAAAUAAUAACAUAAUGGCAUGCUCUAAGGGUCACAAAUGAAGGUCUGAAGCUUCGGAUAGGUAGUAUUGAUUACUAAUAAAAAACCACACAUUUUAGAUAAUAAUUCUCAUGAGUGUCAUAUCUUUUGGGUAGUAAUUAUGCUUAAAACACUCAAUUAAUAUGUUUUUGCCCUAGCAAGAGUUACUAACAAUUUUUAUGAAGUUUUGGAGUCAUUUCAAGGUAUGAUUUUGAUAAAUUGGUGACAAAAGAGAUGAAUCAAAUUGAAGAGAACAAAUAAAGUUGAUGAUGAUCCAAAUGCACAAUGAAAGAAGUAAUGAAAUUGGUUUGGACCAGGAUUUGGAAUUGAUUUGGAGGUGGUUAAAGUGGAAUCAAGAGAAAGAAAUGGAAGAAAUGACAAAAAAGAGUUGAAAAACUAUGUUUUUCAAUUUCGCAUGAACAUGUGAAAAAUUCGCACAAUUGUGCGAAAUGGAUCAAAGGGGAAUUUGGCUACAACUAAAAGGGAAAAAGUGAAAACUAAUUUCGCAUGACCAUGCGAAAAUUUCACACAGUCAUGCGAAAUGCUCCAGGAAGGUGAAAAUGGUGCUGAUCAAUUUUCCACUUCGCACAAUCGUGCGAAAUUGCAUUUUUUCCAGAUUUCUUGGUGAAGAAGCCUCCGGAAGACCUCUUAGAUGAUGCCAAGUAUCCACUUGACCUUGACCUAUAAAUAGAAACUUGAUUUACUCAUUUGAAGACUUUUUUACAUUUUUCUAAUUGUAGAACUUUCUAGAUUUUCUCUCUAUAAAAUUCUCUAUUUUCCUUCAUUUUCUCUCAUUUUCUCACUAGCCAAACAUGUCUUGUGAGACCAAAUCUCUAAGCAUGAGUGGCUAAAUCUCGUUUUUCUCGGAGGAGGAGAGAUUUAGAGGCAAAAUCUAUGGUGAUCUAUGGUGAAUCGCAAAGGUAAUUUGAUCCAAUUGAUUGAUUAAUUGAAAAUUUUGGGAUUUUUCUCUUCAAAUUGUCUUAGAUGAUUACUACAAUGCAAGCUAGGUAGAUUAAUCAAAUUCUUAAUGCUAGAUUUGAUGAGAUUGAAUAGUUGCAUUGUGUGAAUCAUUGGAAGAUAAUUUAAGAUGAAUUGAAUAUAUGAUUUGAAUUAAUAUCUUGGAUUCGAUGACCUAAUUUGAAGAUAAAUUAUAUCUAGAUCUAAAACUAAAUAAAAAAUCGGUUUCAAUGAAAAUUUAGGUUUUCAAUCUAACUUGAUGAAAAUUAGAUCUUAACAUCUAUUCACCAUAGAGAUUGUUUUCUAAAAAAUCAUAACUCCAAGAAUUUCAUUUUCUAUUAAUUUUCUUCUAUUUUACAUUUCAUUUUCCUCUCAAUUGGGAAUCAUUGUCAUUUUGAAUUGUAAUCAUGAAUUGUCAAAUCAUUUUCACUUAAUCUCAAUCAUUUCUUCUUCUCUCAUUCAAGCCUUGAUUACCAAGAAUAAUCCAUCCUUGUGGACGAUACCUAAAAACCACUAUACUACAAUAGUUUGUACUAAAACCACUUUUUGAUUGGGUACAAAUUGCUAUAGAAUAGUGAAUUAUGUUAUAAAUUUUGUUUUGAUCCAAUAAACGAUAGAAAUCCGAGCGAUCAAGUACCCAAUUUUAACUAAGGUAGUACCUAAGGUCGGUUAAGGUAGUACCUAAGGUUGAUUAAGGUGGCAUCUAAGGGCUAUUAAGGUAAUACCUAAGGUACAGUCCCCAAAAUACCAAAUAUGAACCAAUUGAACAUAGUAAAUAAUCACAUAAUGGGAUGCUCUAAGGAUCAGAAAUAAAGGUCUGAGGAUUCAGAUAGGUAGUACCCAACUUUAACUAAUGUAGUACCUAAGGUCGGUUAAGGUAAUACCUAAGGGCUAUUAAGGUGGUACCUAAGGGCUAUUAAGGUAGUACCUAAGGUACAGUCCUCAAAAUACCAAAGGUGAACCACUUGACUACACAAAAUAAUCACAUAAUGGUAUGCUCUAAGGGUCACGAAUGAAGUUUUGAGGCUUUAGAUAGGUAGUACCUAACUUUAUCUAAGUUAGUACCUAAGGUCGGUUAAGGUAGUACAUAAGGUUGAUUAAGGUGGUACCUAAGGGCUAUUAAGGUAGUGCCUAAGGUAUAGUCCCCAAAAUAAGAAAGGUGAACCAUUUCACCACACUAAAUAAUCACAUAAUGACAUGCUCUAAGGGUCACAAAUGAAGUAAGUAAUGUCCACAAUUGAAGUUCCAAGGCUUCGAAUAGGUAAUACUCAAGUUUAAUUAAGGUAUUACCUAAGCUCCGUUAAGAUGGUACCUAAGGUACAGUCCCCAAAAUAACAAUGCGACUUGCAACUGGAUAUGUUGUAAGUUCCAUCUAGAUUCAAUGCGACUUGUAGGUCUUAUGGUUAUUUGGGAAUAAUAUGAUUUCCACAACCCAAUACAAAAGUUCAAGUCUACCAACGACUCGAAAAUCGUUGCUGUGCUCUAUUUUAAACAAAGGAACUAAAGAACAAUAAAUAAAAAUUAUUUACCUUCAAAUUUCAAUUUGGGGUUAGGGCAAAAUGCGACUCAAUGACAGGAAGAGAUAUCUUGUUGACGAAGCCAAUAUUUUAGAUUCCAACUUUCCGUUCAGGUACGCACUGCUGUAGUAAAUUCACAAUCACAAAUGCACCUCUUGAAGUCGUCUUUUAACUGGACAUUCUUAGGAUGGAAUGCUCCAUUUUGUUGCACUUUUAUGUGGAUAAGAGAGAAACACACAAGUUGGAGUUGUGGAUUAAUGGUUUUUUUUUCUCUCAAAUGAGACAAUUUUUGGGAAAUUUUAGAUGGGUCUCAGGAUUGUAUGGGUGAUGAAGCUAAGAGAGAGAGAGAAAUGUUCCCAAAUUAGAGAGAAAAAAAGUUUCAGAUUAGGGAAAUAACAACCAUUUGUCGGGUCAGGUGAUUUUUCAUAGGUUUCAAAUUCAAAUUUUUCUGUUUUUAAAAUUUUCAGUCUCUCCUAUAACACGGAGGGUGUGCUGCUGAUAUAGGGACAAGGUUACAACUAACAUGGAGGCAUGGAGGGGUAAUUUAGGAACAUAACAUGGAGUUAGUAAAGAGUGCAUGAGAAAGAUAAUAUUUUUCCAUUUGACAGUCAAAUCUCAUAUUCCAGCUUAUUAGAGUUUGAUUGUCAUAUUACUUUCAAAUAGCUGGCUACGAACACAACUUUCCCUAGAAAAUAUGAUAUGAAGUACCACUUUUUCUGUUUAAGUCAUAAGUCAUAACUAACAAGUUAGUCAAAUCCUUGCUUUUUUUUCCCCCCCAAAUGCAGUUCUUAAAUAGUAACCAUAGACGGUUCUUUGGGUAAUGUUGAAAAUCAAUUGAAAAGUUAAGUGAGUGUUUAAUUAAUUAAAUUUACUUUAAGUUUAAUUAUUUUUAAGUUGCUAAUUUAAAAUUUAUGAUUUAUUUUUUACUUUAAGCAUUAAAAUUGUUUGAUAAAAUUAUCUUAAAAUUUAUUUUAAGUUAUCAAAUUGAAAUAUUUGCUCUCAUAGUUGUAAUUAACAUUUAUCAUUAUUAAUUUUAACUAAUAUUUAUUUUCAUUAAUCUUAAUUAAUAAAUUUGUUUAUUAAACUUUCAUACUUAAAUAAAUAUAUCAGACAACUUUAAAAUAUUUACUAUGAAAAAUGAGACAUGGAUGUAAAGUCAUGAUUGUUAAAUAUAUUCUUAAUAGAUUAUGGACAAAUAAGAUAAAAAAGAUUUGGGAUAAAAAAAAAGUUAAUUAUUUUUAUUUAAUACUUUAAAGUCAUUUUUAAAUUUAAGUUAUGAUAUUAAAUUAUUUUACUAAACAUGUUUAAUCUAUUUAAUAACUUAAUUUAAGUUAUUAAAUCAUUUUAAGUCAUUAAAUUAACUUACUAAACACUAUUUAAAAGUGUCAUUAGUCGAGAAAAGGUUGCAUUUGAUGCCUUAAAUAAAGGCCAAUUCAUAGCUGAAUUACUAUAAACUCUAUUACCAUGCUUGAUACAUGUACGAGGACUAUCCUAGCAAGCUUAACAAACCAAAUUAAGUGGUGCUAAAUUUGUUUAAAAGGAUUUGAAUAACUACAUAAGGUAAAUAUUGUAAGUGAAUUUUAAAAUAAAGAUUUUUAUUCUUUUUUAUAAAAUAAAGAUUUGACUAACCAUAUUUAUCCUUUUUAUAAAAUAAAUAUUUUUAUUAUUAAAUGGUUUUAUACUAAAAUUUGUCUUCUUUUAAUUCAUUUUUUUUUAUUAUUAUUAGUUCCUUCAUGUAAAAAAUUAAAAUAAACAACUAUUUCAAUGGAUACAUGAGAAUUAUAUUAAAUCACACUCUAUUUUUAAUUGAAUUAUGUUAAAUUUGUACUUAUUUUAAAAUAAAAUAUUUUUUCAUUUAUUUAAUAUAAAAAAAUUAGAAUUAUAAAUAAAAUCUACUUAAUUCAUUUACAAGAACUAAUUUUUCAAUAAAGGGUUAAUGAAAAAACUAAAAAUCACUAUUAUAUAUUUUUAAAUGAUUUUGACGACAAAAUAAAAUUGAUGAUGAAAUAAGUUAGUAACACAUUUUAUUUAUUUAUUAUUGUGAAGUCUAUGCCAAUCCAAACUAGGUAAACACGUAAGAGGGGGUGAAUUAGUCAAAUUUAAACAAUGUUUACUAAAAUAAAUACAAAUGACAAUAAAUGAAAAUACAAGUAAAUAAAGAGAUAUGAAACAAAAGAAAUGCAAACGAUUUAUAGUGAUUUGACAUUGUUAGGAUAGAGUCUUUAAGAGAAUGACAUGGUACAAUAAUAUACGAAUUUAUUAUUUAAAUUAUGAUCCAAUUUCCUAAAUCUAUUUAUCCUUUUCAUACAUUAUACUUUCUCUGCAUUUAGGUCCAACAUCUCUUACAUUAUAUAUGACUUAAGUGUAUUAGGAGUUGAUCGGAAGAUCCAAGUUAUAUAUUUCUUGUAAGGAGAUGAGUUGUUCACAACUAAUUUAUGAACUUAAACAAUCCAUUUGAGGUUGUCGUGCACAUCUCAUAAUUGAAGGGAUAACUUAUCUUGGUUAUGGAGAUGAGUUUCCCUAGUUAAUGCACUAAUGUGUAUGGUUACAUAUUAGACAAGACUUAUAGUAAGUCAUAAGAUUGGUUAUCAAGUAGCCAUGAUCUCACUAAACUACUAUAUCAUAUGUGCUCUUAACUUUGAGAGGAUACUAAGUGUUAAAGUCUAUAGUGGCUUUGACCUAUGGGUAAGACCCUAAUUAGAUGGUCAUAUAUUCCUUAUGGAUUCAGUCACUAUUGAUUGAGGUAGGUGACAACAAGUAUACUUAAGAUAGACACCAUGAUAUUUCAUAAGUUUGAGACAAAGUGUCCUCUUGGAUGAUCCUAAGGACAUGUGAUCAGGAAAUCUAUGGUCGUAGUAAUUCCUUAAUUGAAAUUUAACAUAUGCUCUUGGAGAGCUAGAAUAUGUCAAUUGGUUACAUAAUAGGAAAAUAUGAGACUCAAUGAUUGUAAAGAUAAUCUUGAGAGGUUGAUAGUAUUCACCUUGUUAAAUUAUAGACAUGAGUUCAUAGAGAGUAUGCAUAGAGUGAAUAGUAGGUCAUGAGCUCAAGUUCUUAUAUCUUGUUGUAAUAUCAUAGGAUACAAGAGUGCAAUUGACUCUUUAUAGUGGAAUGUUAAGUCAACUUCAAAAUUGAAUUAUGAAGGAGCUAUUUUUAUUUUCCUAUGGAUCCUGACAUUCUUCGUUCCCUUCAUAUGUUUUUACAAUUUUUGGUUUCCACCAUUAUGACCCAUACACAUAAACUCAACCCCUGGUCAAUGUCAUAACUUAGCAGUUUCUGAAUUGUUGUACGAAUCAACCAAGUUUUUGAGGAGGUUCAAAAUUUUCUCAUCUGCUAUCUACUGGUUGCAUUAGAAAUAAUGACAUGUUUAUCUUUAGGCCUAGGGACUAAGUAUCACACAUCAUUUCUAGUGAAUUGAUUUAACUCUUCUUGGAGUUCAAUAGUCCAAGAGUCGUCACCUAAGCUUCUUCCAUAUUCUUUGGCUCCAAUUGGAGGAUAUAACAUACAAGACCCAUCUAGUUUAAUCUUAGUUGUCUCCUAGUAACUACACAUUCAUUUAUAAUACCUAUUACAUUUGCUAGUUAAACGAAAUUUAAUAUGUAGUUAAUGAGUCUAAUAUUUUUUUUAAAAAAAAUAACUUAAAAUUCAUAAAACACUUAAAUCAAUGUAAGAAAAUAAUAUACCAAAAAAACUAAUACAAAACAAAUUAUCUCUACUAUUUUUUAUUUGCAUAUAACAAUAGACAUAUUUUUAAUUUUUUCAUUAUACAAAUAAAUUCUAAAUCAAACGAGACAAAGAGUAUGUUUGAUAUUGAUUUUUAAAAAUGUUUUUAGUCUUUUUAACACUUAAAUAAUAAAAAAUUUCAAAUGUUAGAAAUGCUAGAAGUAAUUUCUAAAAUCACUGCUAAACGAGCUCUAAUAAAUUAAGACUUAGAGGGUGUUUGGUAAAAUCUAAUAUUAAUUACUUAAUCAUUUGAGUUGAUUUUGAGUUAAAUCAUAAUUAAAUUAUUUACUUAAAACUUAUUAUUUGAUUUUUAUUUUAAGUACUAAAUCAUCGAUUUGACAUACUUACAAUUAUGAAUUUUAACUAUUAUUUACACUUAUUAGUUUUAAUAACUAUUUUUUAUUAUUAAUCUUAAAAAAUAAAUUUGUUUGUUAAAUAUUUAUAUUUAAAGUAUUGUAAAUAUAUAAGAUAAUCAUAAUAUAUUUACCAUAAAAAUCAAUCAUCGAUGUAGAGUUAUAGUUGUAAAAUAUACACUCACUAUAUGAGGGUUAAUGAGAUAAAAUAGAUUUGACAUUAAGAAUAAAUUAACUAUUUUAACUUAAUAUUUAAAAGUUAUUAUUAACUUUAAGCUGUAAUAUUAAAUUAUUUUACUAAACAUGUUUAAUCGACUUAAUGAUUUAAAUUAAGUUAUUAGAUCAAUAAGUCAAUUUCUCAAACAACCUCUUAGAGUUCAUUUGAGAGUAUUUUUAGAAAAUGCUUCAAAAUUGAUCCAAAAUACUUUGUUUAGAAUUGAGUAAUAAAUAAGUACCUACAAUAAAAAAGCUUGGCUUAUUUAUAUGUAUAUUUUUUUUUAAAAAAACUUUGUUUAGUUUUAAAUUCAUUUUAAAUAAAAUAUUUUAACCAUUCUUAUUUUAAAAGUAUUAUUAUUCAUUAUAUAAAGAAUUCAAGUAUGCAUUUACAAGUAUUAUUCUAAUUUUUAAUAUAUUGGAAUAUUAGAACAUUAAAAUCUAUAACACCUAAAAUUGGGAAUAAAGUAAAUAAUAAAAUUUUAUUUUAACUUUGAAUAUAUCUUUUUAAAUAUGCUUAUGUCAUUUAAUAAAAUUAGAAAUAUUAAUAUAUUUAUAUAUUAUCAUGAUGCUUUAACAUGUCAAUAUUAAAGAUAAAAAGAUGAAAUAUCUUUACUUAUUUAAUAUUAUAAUAUUAAAUAAAAAAUUUAAGUUUAAAUUAUGUAUAUAUAUAACAUUUAUUUUUAAUUUUAAUAAUAUAUAAAUUAUAUUUAUGACAUUACUGUUUCAUCAGUAAUUUAUAUGCGAAAACAGAGGAUUGACCUGUAUUUUGCAAGUUAAAAAGUAAAAUAUAGAGAAGGAAGAAAGAAACAAGAAGAAAAUAAUAGUAGUACACCUUUAUUAAACUUCAAAUCCAAGUCAAAGGAGUAAGCCCACAAGUACAGCAAACAUUAAGAUAACAAGAAAGAGGAAUGAUAUACACAGGCAGCAUACAUUCUUAUUUCCCAAAGGAAAUUUUUGUUGCAUCAUCACUUGUAAAGUCCAGAGUUUGUAGUUGUUGGCUGUGGGCGAAUAUUUACAAGCAUACUGAGAAUUCAAGGGCAGCAUGCAAUGUUCAACAUGGACAAAUUAUUCAACUGUGAGCAAGAUAAAUUAAACAAGAUAUAGGCUUCAACACAACAGAGAUAAUCACAUUUGAGCAGGCCAUUUUUCUGGCUCGUUUGAUUCAGCCAUGCAUGGGUUUUUGAGGAAGUUUGUCUUCAAUCCACCUCUUCAAUAGCUCUAGUGCAGCUCAGGGCUGACCAGCAUCAUGGACCUUUUUAUUGUUACAUAUAAACCAAACCACCAUGUUAGUACUAGCAAUCAUCUGCUUCCUUCCUAAGUGUACUGCUAUGUGAGAAAGAGAUGGUUUGAGAGAGAGACCUUGAGGAAGGUAAGACUGGUCUCUUCAAGUGUAUACAGCAAUGCCUUGGACACCUCUAUACUUUCUGACAUUUUUAUUUUCCAGCUGAUAUCAAACACAAAAAGAAGAGUGAAAUCUUGGAUGAGUGAUGCAGAAUGCUAAACUUGUAUAAGGGUCUAUUUGGCAGCAGAAAUGAGGAUUCUUUUAUUUAUUUAUUUAUUUUUUCUGAGAAAAGAAGAAAUGAAAAUGGAUUAAAAACAUGAUGAAAACAUCAAACAUUUCAAAAUAAAAAAAAUAAAAAAACAUGUUGAUAACUCAAAGUAACAUAUUCAUGCUUGCCAAUCUUCAAUCUUAUUGAUCAUUUUUACAAUAGCAGAAAAGAAAGUCCUAAUAAGCAUUGACCACCUUCAUCGUUCUUUUCUUCUUACCUGAGAGAAGAAAUUCUGAAAAUGAAGCACUAAAUUUAAAAAAUGAGGCAUUAACUUUGAAAAACAGAUAAUCAUGAAUUGUUGAGGUCAAGAACAUACUGACAUGCAAAUAUGUAGCUUGAAUUUUGGAAAUUUUGGAUUUCACCUGCAUCUUCUUUUUAUUCUUUCUUUCCUAAAUGUAGAGAAGAAACUUCCAUUCUUUAUCUGAAAAUGAACUCACUAUUAGGGCAAUGAAAACAGAAGCUGCACAUUGUGAGUGGGCAGGCUUACCUUAUUGAAAAGAGGAGAAGACAUAUUGUUGCUUUCAUUUUAAGCAGCCCAUAUGAUGAGUAUCUAAUGGCAGGAAAUGGAUGUGGGAUGUCUUGAUCUGAAAUAAAGAAGAACAGCCCAGUUAAGCAUGUCAAAAGAGUCUAGACACAGUUUUAGGUUUAGGUUUAUUCUAUUUAUUAAGAACAUAAAAUCAUAAGCAAAUUCAAUAGAACAGUAGAACUAACCAUGCUUGUGUGGAACUGAGGCCAACAAGUUAAGAGAAAAUGCCAAUUAGUAAGAGCUGCUAAAGCCAUAUAUUCAUGAGAGGACAAUCUGGAACUGGAGUUGAGUUGCAAAUAGCCAUACCUGAAUGAUUUUUUUUUUGCAUGUAGAAAACAUGGAAUUCAUCUUAGAACAUUGUUAUCAGUCCCUUAUCUCAAGUCUUGGAAAUGUUUCUGGAAGCCCUUUGGACUGGAGCUCAUGGCACCCAUAGACGGAUAUACUGUCAAGAGAAGGGAGGUUUUUGAAAGCCAGGGAGGCCAUGGAAUCCAGUUUACUAAUCAAAAGUUUGCUCAGAGUUGUAGGAAAAAGACAGCCAUCAUCUGUAGAGAAGCCAGACCUGGACAUAGGCUAGAAAUAUACAAUGAUGAAAGAGAAGCAAGUGGGCCUGUCCUGGUUAGCACACAAUCUCUGAUAGAAAGUGGUGCAGGGUUGCAGGCCAAACUGCAGAGUCCUCUGCUUCUCCUGGUUAGCACAAAUUUCUAAUUACAAAUAUUUAAGAUUGUGAGGCAGCCCUUGUUCCUCCAAGGUUACAAGUCCAUGGCACUGCCAGAUCCCUAUACAUUCAACACCACCGAGGAGGCAUUCCAAUCAAAACCUGCUCUGCUACAAAGACGUCACUUCCCCACACCCUCUUAACACCGUUUUUUAAAAUCGGAAAUUUCUUGAUUUUAAGCAUUGAGAGUGUUGCAGGGAGCCCUUUCCUUCAGCAAACAUGACCAGAGAAUUUCAAUGGCAUCAAAUGUAGAAACUAGCAUUUCAAUAGUAUCAAAGUACAAACUUCGAUUUCAAUAAUGUCAAAAGUAGAAAAUUGUAUCAAGUUCAUAACAAUUGUCUUUUAUGAAUGAGAUGGACUCUGCUUCCAUUUUUGUGAUAUAUAUGGAAAUAAAAUUCAACAUGAGUUUAUUCAUAUGUGAAAAGCUAUCAUUAUGUAGGGAUGUGCACUAUCUUGGACUAAUUUCUAUAUUUGGAAGUGUGGCCAUCAACAGCCCUUCCUUGGCAAAAGGCACCCAAGCUUAGGUGACUCCUAGUACUCCAAGAGGAGUAAGGCUGUGGAGCUGCAUGGAUGGAUUGAAAUGACCCCAACCAUGUAGAUAUUAUUCACUCUAGGUCCUUUGGCCCCUUAACUUACUCUCAAUAGAGGGACACCUCACUGGGGUUAAGGUUGGGGAUCAACUUUGAUAUCAUUUGUAACGUCCUACUUCCAGUCAUAUUGUUCGCUUUGGACCCAAGGAGCCUUUUUCAAUUUAAAACAUGUUACAUUGUUAAGAGAAACUCAUACAUAUAUAGUGCAAACUGCCAAGAAGUUUUUCUCCUAUCCAAUGUGGGAUAUCUUAUAGAUUAUAUUUAGAGGAAGCAUACACAUACUCUGUAACAGUGGUGAAAUUUUGAAGAGAGGAGAGUUUAUGCAUGCCCCACUUGGUCAGGGCUCGAUAUUCCUGCAGUCCAUGAUGCAAGGUGAUACUAGGUUGAAGCAACAGCCCAUUUGAACUAACCGAAUCUAUGACUUGAAUUAAAAUUUGCAAAAACCAAAAAACCACCUCUUUAGGUUCCUGGCCUUGCUAAAAUCAUAUUUUGGAUAAGAAGCAAGAUGCCAUUUCUGAACACUACAACCAACUUCCAAGAACCUUUGGAACCGGAGCAAGCAAAUGAUCUCAACAUAUUGUAUUAUAACCUUAUCAUUAAUACACAUCAAACACUGAAUAAGACUAUUUAACUAUUGCCAUUUUCUUAAUCUAAGAAAUACCAUGCCAGUUUCAAAUAUUCAUAAAUGUAAUGCACAUUUAUAAAGAACCAUAUUUAAGGCAUUAUAUGUGCUUGUGUGCUUAAAAAUGACAAACUCUAUUGAUAAACUUUAAAAAGAAAAGAUGUCUUACCAGAGUCAGCCAUGAAAUAGCAUUUCUGGGCCGAAGUUACCACAGUCAACAAUACUGCAAAAGAUGACAGAAUUCCCAAGGCUCUUAAUCUUGAAAAUAAUGUAUCUUUGUAAUGGAGGAUUAUGGACAAGAGCAACAUGAAAAACAAAAAAAUUAAGAAGAAAUACCAAGCCAUGAUUGCAGCAAGAAAUGAAGAAUAUACCAGCAAGUGAAUAGGUAGCAGUUAGUGAUUAGGAAGUUUUGCAUCUAAUAAUAUUCACCUUUUUCUUUUUCCUUCCUACAUGUUGAGAAGAAAUUUCAAUCAUUAUCUAAAAGUGGAAUUGAUAUUGGAUCAAUGAAAUUGGAAGCCAGGCAUCCUAAAGAAGCAGACAUAAUACCUAUUUGUUUGCUUUCAUUUCUUGACUAGGGAAAGAAGAAUUAUUAGGAAGAACGAUCCAUCAUAUUGCAUGUAAUAAGAAUUGGAAACACAUAAGAAUAGACCAGUUUGGGGGCCAUGAUGCUAUUAAAGGUGGAAUAGAAUGUCAUUGAGGUUUCCUUCAUAUGAAACAUAUGAGUGAUAUACCAAUUAGGCAGGGCCAGAGGCUGCUGUAAGCAUGUGUUAUUUAUAGAAAGACAAAAUUACAUUAGAAUUAAUAGAAAAGUAGAAGUAACCAUGCUCACCCAGAAUUGAGGUAAAGAACAAAAAAGGGAAUCACGAAUUUAAUAGAAAACCCCCAAUCAAUAACUGCAGCCAAGCCAAAAUCACCUAUCCAUCAAGAGAAUGGAUCAUGUCUCAUCUCUCUCUCUCUCUUCUUGUUCACCCUGUGCACUACUUGCCAUAUCCUUAUUAAGCCAGAUCCCUGUGAAUUUGCAAUGAAAAUUGGCAGUCCAAUUAGCAUAUGGACAAAACAGGGAGAACUUCAUACAUUUAUAGACAUGAGCUCUUUUCAGAUAGUUAGUACAUAGUUGUCGCUUUAUAAUUACACUUCAAGCGGUUGAAGGAAUAAUGUUCAGAAAGAAAUUGGAGUAAGAAACAAUGUAAAUAUUUAUAAAAUUAGAAAUGUUAUACCAUGAAGCUAUUUGGAAAAGCAAACAACAAUCCUCAUUCUUUCAUUCAACACCAGCUUUAGCCCCUUGCUGCCAUGGUUAGCUUAAGAUUCACUGACUACCAAUGUAUGUUUACUUUUUUCAUCUUGUCCUAGAGAAGUUUAAGAAUGAAUAUGAUUCUUUUCCUUGGUUAAAAGAAAUGUUUCAAGUUUCAAAAUACAUUUUUGCUUCCACAACUAAAAACUCCUAACAUUUGAAUGGAAAUUCACAUCUGGGUAUCCAUGGCUAAGUCCAUUAAAUAUACUUCUAAGACAAUAAUAUUAAAAAUAUGAAAAUAAAAAACUUAAAAAAAAAGGGGGUGGGGGUGGGAAAGAAAAACAAAAAGAAGUGAAAACAAGGUUGUACCUGAUUGAACAAUGAAAGGAUAGCGUUGAAUGGCUUUCUGUUUCCAUUCUGUUUCCACCACAUGUAGAAUACUUUACUCUGCCAUCAAUUUUGAAUUUGGGGAUGUCGGCAAUGGAGGGAAAUUUUGUUUCUUGAAGAAGAGGACAGCCAAUGAUUUCAAGACUUGCAAGUGCUAUUGGCCUUAGCCUUAAGGAGUGGAGCUUAGGGCAGCACCCAAUAUAUAGAUGUUGAAGGGAGAUGAUGUUUUUGAGAUCCAGGGAGGUCAGGGAUUCCAUAUAGUUGAUAUGGAGGUUAGUGAGAGGUGUAGGAAAAAGGCACUUAUCGUCCCAAAGGGAAGCCUUGCCUGGGAACAUUUUCCAAAUCUUCAAUGUCGAAAGAGCGGUGAGGGUGUGGAGGCCCCACUCAGAUACGGGAGUCUUCAGAUUCUUGCAAUUUAUAAUUGAAAGAAAUUUUAGAUUGGGGGCCAAACCCCCUUCUGGGAAGGACUCCAGUCCCGGAGAAUCCUCCAUGCUGAGAACCCGAAGAGAUGUGAGGUUUUUCAUUUGAUGGGGCAAGCACUUGAGAUUCUCACAUCUCCAAAUACGGAGCUCUCUGAGGUUGGGGGCGGAAAACCCUCUUUCUGGAAACCCCUCCAGACCUCCACAGUCUUCUAUUUUGAGCUGCUUGACGCUGUGAAGGCAUUCUGGUAGGAUUUUCAGAUUGGGAUAACCCCUCAACUCUAAAUACUCAAGAGCUGUAUUAUUGGGCCACAUUUUCUCUGAUACUGGCUCCAAGUUGGAGCAAUGCCGAAUCUCAAGCCGCUCAAGGGUGGGGGGUAACUCCCCUCUUGGGAAGAACUUGAGAGACUUGCAAUCAUGUAUCCUCAGUAUUUGAAGACAACAAUCGUUGUUGCUGUGUAUGGAAUUGCGGUGCAUCAUUCCAUCUGGUAGAUACUUUAGCCGUAUACAAUCUGCAACCAUCAGUUGCUUGAGGGUGGAGGGUAACCCACCAUGUGGAAAGCAGAUGAGAGAUGGACAACACCUAAUCUCCAAGGAUUCAAGGGGACAUGAGCUGUAGUUAUGGGGCAGCGACCUCAGGCUCCUGCAUUUCUGCAGCACAAGACGUCUCAGCAUGGGCGGCAAACCCGUCUCUGGGAAUGACUCCACUGCUAGGCAUCCCAUCAUUUCCAGCUCUUCAAGACAAGUGAGAUUCUGUAAUCCAUUUUGCAGGCUCUUCAGGUUGACGCAGUCGGCUAUCUUCAACAUUUUCAGAUGGCUAGGCAGUCUUUGGUCAUCCAAUGAUACAAGCCAGUCACAGCGGCCAAUCACUGCGCUUUCAAGACCACUGCAAACCCACCUAGAUGUCAGCUGAUCACGACUAUCUGCAACCACCCCACUUCUCAACACCAUAUCCUUGCAUUCUUCUAUAUUUAGUUCACCCAGAGAUGCAAAUCUUGAGAAUGGAACUGCCAGAUUUCGACAUUUAGAGAUGUCAAGUUUCACCAAGGAUGGCAGGCAAUCAGGCAACUGUUUAACUAACUUUGAGCAGUUCCUUAUGGUAAGCUCUCUAAGGCGUGGAAAUAAUUCUACUCCUUCAACCGCAUCAGGAAAAAACCAGUCUUCCCAUUUCGGCAUAUUCUCAAACUUUAGAAACUCCAGGGAUGGAAAAGGCUGGACAACCCCUCCAUAGAACUCCACAUCUAUGGUUCUAAUUUCACUCAUCCCCUUGAUAUGCAAGGUCUUGAGGAAGGAUAAUUUGCCAAGAGAUGGUAAUGAGGUGCAUCUUUGGCAAUUCUUUAGAAUUAAUUGUGUCAUUGAUGGGAAUGAGGGGUCCCUUAUCCAACCUAAAAAUGUUGAUCCACCAUAAUAUGCCACUGUGAGCUUUUUCAAGUUUGUGGGUGGUCGUAGCCCUGCCAAAACAUUCAUCUCAUUCAUUUCAUUUCGUGGUUUAUCAUAAUCGCUGUCCCAUUCCAUCGUCAACUCUUCAAUGUUGUGCUUUUCUUCUAACUUAGCAUGCAUCGCAUCUUGACUAUUCACCACAUUAUGCAACCCUGAAAUGGAAAGCUUUCCUCGAAGAUCCUGCAAGUUCUCCAAUUCUCUUAUUCUGGAAUUAUCAUUUUUGCCCACAAUAUAUUUAGAUAAUGUUUGCAAAUUUGUUAGGUUGCUGAUCUUGAAAGGCAUCUCUUGUAGUUGACUUGUACCAGAAAUAUCAAUAUGUCGAAGGUUGAUUAGGCCUCCAAUCACAACAGGCAACUUAGUGAGUCUCCAACAAUCAGAUAAUAUCAAUGUCUGUAGGUUAUAAAGAUGUCCUACUGAAUUAGGUAACAUUUUUAUUGAAGAGUUAGACAAAUUGAGAUAGCGCAAAUGUCUCAAAUCACCAAUCGAAUGUGGUAGCUCUCCACUUAUGUAAUAGCCACUUAAAGAUAAUACUCGUAAACAUUCAAAUUGCUUUACAAGAUUAUUUAUUACCUUACUUGGUAUGAAGUGAUAUCUAGAAAAUGCAUUGAGUGGCAAUGAGAUUAGUGUUCUCAAACACUUCAUCUUAUGAAAGGCUUUGAAUCUUUCAAGCAUCUCAUACUCUUGACGAUUGAAAGAUGAGUGACGAGCCUUCUUAAAAGUGGUGGAUUGGUUAUUAUUCACUAAUAUACCCUCCAAAUUAAAGCAGAAUUCUCCCGCUACAUAUUGAGCUAGAUCAUUGAUUAGGUCAUGCAUCACAAAUCGUGAUGAAUCGUGAUUAGAUUGUUGAAAAAAUGACCUUGACAAUAAAUCAUAGAAGUAUUUAGAACCCAAAUCUUCUGGUCGGGUAUUUUCCUUUGUUUGUUGAAAAAAACCCUCAGCCAUCCAUAAUUGGAUUAAUUCAUCUUUGUCGAAUUCAUAGCCUUUUGGAAAUAUCGAACAAUAGGCAAAACACUUCUUCAAAUGAGAAGGGAGAUGAUGAUAGCUCAACUUGAGUGCAGGAAGAACUUGACUUUUGUCCUCAGGUAGAUCCCAUAUCUUACUUGUUAAAAUAUUUUCCCAUGCAUCAUGACUUACUUGGUUGCGCAACAUGCCACCAAGGGCCUUUGCUGCCAAAGGCAAGCCCUUGCACCUUCUCACUAUUUCCUCGCCAACUUCUUUCAAGUGUGAAUGAGCAUCGAAAUUACUUUUCCCUAAUGCUUGUUGAGUGAAUACAGAUAAACAAUCUUUGUAUGCUAACUCAUGAAGACGAUAAGCUCGGUAAGUUCGAGUGAUUGAUGCAACACCUUCAUUACGGGUUGUGACAAUAAGCUUACUACCCGGUUCCCCUGAUCUCAUUGGCAUGCACAAAAAAUCCCAUGAAUCAAAAUUCUCAUUCCAUACAUCGUCUAGGAUAAGAAGAAAUUUCUUCCCAGAAAGGCCCUCCCUUAAUGUCAUCUGAAGCAAAUUAAGAUCAUUAACAUCCUGAGUAUUCGGAGAAACUGAUUGUAGAAUUGUUUUCGUGAUCUUCAAGACAUCAAAAUCAUCAGAAACAUAGACCCAAACUCUCAAAUCAAAAUGAGCUUUUAUUUCAUCAUCGUUGAAUGCAAGUUGGGCGAGAGUAGUUUUGCCAAUACCAGCCAUACCGACAACAGGAAUCACGCAGACUUCAUCAGUACAUGGAUCAUCCCUGAGUAACAAGUUGGCUAUGGCUGCUUUAUCUGUUUCCCUACCAUAAACACGGGACUCAUCCACUAAAGAAGUAGUGGGUAGUAUUUCCCUUGUUUUGGUAGAACUCUCCCCAGCAAUGUUCUCACGUAAAUGGAGAUCAUUUUUUUGUGCAGAAAUUUCUUGUAACCUGGCGGUGAUCUUCUUGAUUUUGGACCACAUCUCCGCAUUAAACUUAAUAGCAUUUGGAGUGAAACUAGUACAACAAGAAGGGAUGAGGCUCCGUAACUUACUUGUGCUAGGUUGAGUGCCAGAAGGAUGAGUUUCGGCCAUCAAAUUGCGUCGCAAAGCUUGAGUGACGAAGCCGUCCAAGAUGUCCUCCACAUCAUAAGCCAAGUCUCCGAGCUCGUCAAGCCACAUCUUCACCAGGGGGUCCGUCAUCUGCUUCUCCUCUGCGUCAUGGAGGACUGCAUAGAUCUUCAUCAAAAUUUUCUUCCACUUGUUAAGCUCAGAAUGGACAUGCCCUUCGCUAGCAAAAUUCCAGAGUUCAGGGGGGUUGACCAUGUCAAUCAGUUUCUGGAUGAAACCAGACAAAAUAGCUUCCCCAACAAAAUCAGCCAUGAUUCUUUGUUUGCAAGUAAAAAGGAAUUAUUAAAGAAACUCUCUGCAGCUCUGAAUAAUGGUUUGUAGGAAGCCAAGGGCUUUAAAUGAAGUCUCUGCAACUCAUAUCGUUGAGUCAACAAAAAAAUUCUGUAAGGUUCCAUGAAUGUGAAUCCGAAUUGGGAAAGUUAGGUUUUGGGUCGGUGAUGUGGAAAAUAUAUGAUUUUGAUAACCCAAAGCAUAACUUUCCCAAUCGAAUUAACGCGCAGUAUAAAGUUGCGGCGGUGAGGAUCCACAUGGUGUGGACAAAGUACUAGAACACAUGGGGUUGUGUCCUGGAAAAUAUGAAACUUUACUUACAUUGGUCGUGAAUUUGGGCCCAUGUAUGUAACAAAUUGGAAGACAUAAAAAUAAACUAUAAUAAAAUAGAAAAUGAAAUCUAACUUUGAAUAAAUCAACCUAUUAAUAAAGUAAUAAGAUAAUCUAUAAGGCACUAUAUACAAAGUGUUUUAUGUAUAAAAAAUGUAUUCCUAAUUCAAAUAUAAAAAAUACCCUUCAUGAAUAUAUCGAAGUAUUUUGUACUUCUUUCCUACAAAAAAUAUCUUCCAACAAUAUAUUAAAUAAUUUAUUUAUAUUUUUUAUUAGGGGAUAUUCUUUAUAAGGGGUUUUGUAUUAUUUUGUAUCUUUAAUAUUUAAUAAAUUAAUUUUUCAUAUAUAUUUUUUUAUAUUUUGCUCUUUAUAUUAUCUUUUUAUUUUCAUGGUAGGAUAGAUUUUUUUAUAAGGACAUUCAUAUUAAUAACUAAAUAAUUAGUUUUUUAUAUGAAAUAUUUUAAUGUAAUGAAAAAAAUAUUUAUUUUUUCUCAUAUAUAUUUGGAACAUUGGGAAUAUAAUUGGUAAUUACAUUUUUUUGUUAGUUUUAUUUAUUUAUUUAUUUUUUGUCUUCUUUUUGUUUUAAUUUUCAUAAAUAUAUAUUUACUUUGUGAUUUAUGUGAUUUUAAGGCUGUAUUUUUAUGAGUACUAGUAUAAAAACAUGUACAUAGCCCGUGAUAAUAAAAUAUAAUUUUUUUAACAUUUUAUAAAAUAUAACAAAAACAUUUAAAUAAAAAACUUAUAAAGAAAUUAAUAAUAAAUUUAUAUUUACAUAUCCUUGCAUGAUUUCCAUAGAUAUUGAAGGGUUAAAAAAUAUAUAUUAUAUUUUAAAUUUAAGAUGCUAAUUUUUUAGAUAAUAUUAAUAUUUUUUUUUAUAAGUAAAGCAAGAUAUAUUAAUGAAGAGGCGAAAAGUUACAAGUAUGCCGGAGGUAUACAAAGCAACUACCCCAUCUCAAAGCAAAAAAUAAGAACAAUAAGGCUCACCACUCCUUAGUUGGACGCUAACCAUUCCAAGAACCCUAUAAGGGACAUACGCUCCUUACCAAUAUACAAUCUAGCCCAAUACCACAAACUACAAAUAAAAGAAUUCUUUAGCUUUUGAAUAUCUAACACUUCCCCCUAAAAGUUAGCCUAUUUUUUUCCUUCCAAACCGUCCAAAAAAUAUACAACGGUAUGGAUUUUCAUAUCUUUUUCAUUUUCUUUCCUACAAAAGGGCCCCUCAAGCUAGUUAAGACCUCCUUUACAGUUUCUUGGGAAUAUAAUUGGUAAUUACAUUUUUUUGUUAGUUUUAUUUAUUUAUUUAUUUUUUGUCUUCUUUUUGUUUUAAUUCUCAUAAAUAUAUAUUUACUUUGUGAUUUAUGUGAUUUUAAGGUUGUAUUUUUAUGAGUACUAGUCUAAAAACAUGUACAUAGCCCGUGGUAAUAAAAUAUAAUUUUUUAACAUUUUAUAAAAUAUAACAAAAACAUUUAAAUAAAAAACUUAUAAAGAAAUUAAUAAUAAAUUUAUAUUUAUAUAUAUUUGCAUGAUUUCCAUAGAUAUUGAAGGGUCAAAAAAUAUAUAUUAUAUUUUAAAUUUAAGACGCUAAUUUUUUAGAUAAUAUUAAUUUUUUUUUUAUAAGUAAAGCAAGAUAUAUUAAUGAAGAGGCGGAAAGUUACAAGUAUAUAAGGGGUAUACAAAGCAACUACCCCAUCUCAAAGCAAAAAAUAAGAACAACAAGGCUCACCACCCCUUAGUUGGACGCUAACCAUUCCAAGAACCUUAUAAGGGACAUACGCUCCUCACCAAUAUACAAUCUAGCCCAGCUCCACAAACUACAAACAAAAGAAUUUUUUAACUUUUGAAUAUCGAACACUCCCCCCUAAAAGUUAGCCUAUUUCUUUCCUUCCAAACCGUCCAAAAAAUACACAACGGUAUGGAUUUCCAUAUCUUUUUUAUUUUCUUUCCCACAAAAGGGCCCCUCCAGCUAGUUAAGACCUCCUUUACAGUUUCUAGAAAGACCCACUGCAUACCUGAUAACCCAAGAAUAAUAUCCCACAGAACUUUGACUACUAUACAGUGAAUAAAAAUAUGAUUUACAAUUUCUUCUUCAUAACCACAUAGAAAACAACAAUUAGGAAGCUGCCGUCCUCUUUUUUGAAGUCUAUCAAGAGUGAGCACCCUCCCCCAUGUAGCCUCCCAAGCAUAGAAUGCAACCUUGGUUGGGACUGAAUCCACCCAAAUGCAUCUUGAUGGAAAAACAAUAUCAUUGGGUCUGGCCACCAAUCUAUAAGCUUCUUUGACCCUAAAUUUGCCAUUCCUUCCUCCCUUCCAGUAGAUUGAAUCUUCCUCCAUAGAGGGCUUGUAAUCCCUCAGAGCAUGUAGCAAGUUCCCUAUCAUAUCCAUCUCAAUCGUUAAAGCCCCUCAAAAGUCUUAGAUUCCACCCCUCUUGAGAUAGCCUUGUACCAUUACACCAAACAUCAGUCCAAUAAUUGAUUUUGCUUCCAUUCCCAACCAUGAACCCCAUGUUAUCCCAGCACCAAUCAAUUUCCUUCUAAAUUUCCUUCCACACCCCUACUCCGAACGCUCCAUAAGCCCUCUUUGCUCUCCAACCAUGACCUUCUUGCCCAUAUUUCACCGUUAUCACUUGCUUCCAAAGAUUAUCUUUAUCAUAAGCAAAUCUUCAGAUCCAUUUACCAAGCAAAGCUUUGUUCAAGAGCACUAGCUUCCUUAAGCCUAGCCUUCCCUUGCUCUUAUCCUCACAAAUCGCCUCCCACUUGAUUAGAUGAGCUUUCCUUUCCACACUUCCCCCUCCCCAAAGGAAAUCUCUUUGAGCUUUAUCUAAUCUCCUAGCCAUUGACUUAGGCAUCCGGAACAAAGACAUAUGAUAGAUUGGCAUGCUAACCAAAGUGCUUCUUAUGAGAGUGAUUCUCCCCCAUUUGGAGAUAUAUUGUUGUUUCCAUCGUGCUAGUCUCCUCCUCACUUUCUCUUCCACCCCAUCCCAAACUGAAGGGGCUUUUUUAGGAGCCCCUAAUGGCAAGCCCAAGUAUUGAGAAGGCAGCGAGCCCACCCUACAUCCUAAUUCCACUACCAUUUCCUCAAUCUCCUCCACCACACCAAUUGGGAUAAUUUUACUUUUGUCCAAAUUAAUCCUUAGGCCUGAAGCUGCUUCAAACCAUAAAAGAAUCCAACUCAAAUGUGUUAGGUGUUCUUUGUUAGUCUCACAGAACACGAUUGUAUCAUCAGCAAAGAAAAGAUGGGAGAUUUUUAGAUUGUGUCUCCUAUCACCUUGAAUACUGCAACCUGAGAGGUAGCCCCCGCAACCGCCCUUCUAAUUAGGGCAUCUAGAACAUCCAUUCCCAGAAUGAAGAAGUAAGGAGAUAAUGGAUCCCCUUGACGAAGCCCUUUAGAACUCGGGAAGAAUCCAGUUGGAACCCCAUUAACUAGAACUAAAAACUUGGCUGAAGAUAUACAACUUCACAUCCAACCCAACCACUUUGAGCCAAAUCCCAUUUUGUGUAGUGUCUUCAACAAGAACUUCCAGUUGAUGCUAUCAUACCCUUUCUCAAUAUCCAACUUACAAAUGAACCCUUUCUCUUUUCUUUUCUGCCACGAGUCUAUCACCUCAUUCGCAAUUAAAGAAGCAUUAAGGAUUUGUCUUCCUAUCACAAAUGCAUUCUGAGUUGGGGCUACCACUUUGUUUAACACUCUCUUGAGUCUAUUAGCUAACACUUUAGCCAUCAAUUUGUAUAGCCCCCCAGGAGGCUAAUGGGUCUAAAAUCUCCUGAAUUAGCCGUUCCCCCUUUCUUAGGAAUCAGAACCAGAAAAGUAUUAUUGAGACUUUUGAGAAAGGAGCUUUGCUCAUGAAACUCCUUAAACAUCUCCAAGAUCUUCACUUUCACAAAAUCCCAACAACUUUGCCAAAACGCCAUAGUAAAGCCAUCCGGCCCAAAGGCUUUAUCCCCAUUCAUCUCCAUCAAAGCUGAAUGAAUCUCAUUUUCAAAGAACGGAAUCUCAAGAUUCUCUGCUUCUUGCUGGCUAAUUUGAUCUAAUUGGAUCCUCCCAAUAUCCGCCUUCCACCCCAAGUCUUCUGAGAGCAUCUGUUGAUAAGCAUUUGCAAUCCCUUCCCUUACUUCCUGUUCCUCUAACAGCCAAACCCCAUCAGUUUUAAUUUUGUCCAAGGAGUUAUUGUUAUGGUGGGCUUUCGCCAUUCGAUGAAAAAAUCUCGUAUUUUUAUCCCCUUCCUUAUGCCAUAUCUCCCUUGAGAAUUGUUUCCAAUGACUUUCUUCCAAGAGAACCCAUUUUUUAUAGCUUUCCUUUGCUUCCUUUUUUAAUUCUGUCUCCUCCAAAGACGAUCUUCUUUCACUUUCCACACUGUCUGAAUAAUCCACUUGUUGUAGGGCUACAUUUUUGUUACCUUCCAGAUUUCCAUAGACCUCUCUAUUCCAAACUUUUAGUUUCUGUUUGAGUUCCUUUAUCUUUGCUGCUAAUCUAUAACUAGCCCGCCUCCUUCUAGAAGAAUGGGGAAGUGGUCAGACAUAGGACGGGCCAACCUUCUUUGAAUCACCCCAUUGAAUUGAUCUAGCCAACUAAGAGACACCAAGAACCUGUCCAAUCUUGCCCAGGUCUGGUUAUUAAGGCCCCCGCUCCAUGUGAACACUCCCCCUUGCAACGGGAAAUCUACCAGCCCUAAAUCAUCAAUAAUAUGUGCAAACAUCCUCAUGGUCGAGGUUAUUCUCCCUUGUCGGCUUCUUUCUCUUUGAAAGAGGGUACUAUUAAAGUCACCCCCUAAGCACCAAGGCUCGUCCCAAAUUCCUCUUACAGCCCCAAUCUUUUCCCACAAACAUUCUCUUUCCUCUUUAGUGAAUGGGCCAUAGACUCCCGUAAACACCCAAACAACCUCAUCUUCCAUAUUCUUGAAUCUACACGAAAUAGAGUACUGGCCCUCCUCCCAAUCCACAAUUUCCAGCGACCUUUUAUCCCAGCAAAUCAACAGUCAUCCCGCUGCCCCAUCCGCAUCCAAAACCCUCCAAUCUAAGAAUCUUCCCGAGCCUAAACUUCUCACCACGCCUUCCGACAUUGGCUGAAUUUUUGUCUCCUGAAUACACAGUAGGUCAACUUUUUGAUUUCUUAUGAAUGUCUUGAUAAUUUUCCUCUUGGACCUAUCAUUUGCCCCCCUCACAUUCCAACUUAUCAGCUUUAGCUUCAUUAAUCUAUUGCAAGUUGAUCCCCUUUGCCCUGUGAAGGGUCUUUUUGCUUAUACCCCUUCUCAUAAUUAACUGAACACUCCAGCUUCUUCAAUUCCCUUUCAAAUUUUGACUUUUCCAAUUCUUUGCUAUGAAUUCUCUCCNNNNNNNNNNNNNNNNNNNNNNNNNNNNNNNNNNNNNNNNNNNNNNNNNNNNNNNNNNNNNNNNNNNNNNNNNNNNNNNNNNNNNNNNNNNNNNNNNNNNNNNNNNNNNNNNNNNNNNNNNNNNNNNNNNNNNNNNNNNNNNNNNNNNNNNNNNNNNNNNNNNNNNNNNNNNNNNNNNNNNNNNNNNNNNNNNNNNNNNNNNNNNNNNNNNNNNNNNNNNNNNNNNNNNNNNNNNNNNNNNNNNNNNNNNNNNNNNNNNNNNNNNNNNNNNNNNNNNNNNNNNNNNNNNNNNNNNNNNNNNNNNNNNNNNNNNNNNNNNNNNNNNNCCCAUACCCUCUCGUCUCCCCGUCCCUCAUCUGACAAUAGUAGCUCCUCGGGCUUUUCAAUGGCCGAUUCCACCUCCACGCGCAAGACGGAGCAUGAAAGGUUGUCAUUCUGACCUCCCCCCAUUUUCGACUGUCAACCCUAACCUUUUUUACUGACGACUUGAGCUCCCACCAGAGGGCGAGGGUGUAAGCUUCCUCCUCAAUCCCAAUCACCAACGUACUCGGUUUAGCUCCGUCGUCCGUCUUAACUAGAAUCCUAGCCCAUUGGAGCUCUUUCAGCUUCACCGUCUGUGGAUCGAUGGCAACAGAGCCAUUGCAUUCAUCGCCCACCCUUCUCAGCAUAGUCGGGUUCCACAACGAUACUAGUAGUCCAAAGAUUCUAACCCAAACUUCAUUACUUUGUUCCUCCUCCUCCCUACAUCCACUGCAUUUCUCAAAACUCAGCCUUAACCCUCCCAUCAUUUUUUCUCUUGAAAGCGAAACUCGUUGAGCUUCAUCCAAAGAUUCAAAUUCCAACAAGAUUCUGCUUCUCUCCAAUUUUGCCAACCCUAACCUUCCUUUCAAUCCCUAAGAGCUCGCCAGAAAUUUCCUCAAUUUCUCCAAAUCUCCUUCAUCGCUUGACCUAGGGUUCCAACUCCCAACAACACAAUACUCCAAUUUUUCCAGAUUUCUGUGGAUUUCCUCCCUCCAUUCCUUCACCUGAAUUGAAUUUAUAUCUCUGCAAAUCGGUCUCUUCACCACUUCCGCGAACGUUAUUUUCACAUCCAUGUUUCCACCGAUCAUUUCUUCUUGCAUAUUGUCCUUUCUGUUGAUUGACCUUCGUAGUAUCUGUAGAUUUUCCGCCAUUGCAGCCCAUCCCUUUUUUCCUCCUUUACCUUUUGGGAUGUGGAUACAAUAUUGUUUUCGUUCCAAGUCAGUUACCCUUAGCCGGAGGAAGCAUCCCGCUUUAUUUACUCUUCGCAACAGAGAGUAGGAUCUCCCCUAUUCCUUGCAUUCCCUCACCCAUCGUCUUCCUUCUCGUCCCUUAUACAGUGGUUUAGGCCCUCCAUUAGGAACCCUAAACUCUCCACUCCCACUCUGACCCAAGACGAAACUACCCCCUUACUUUCCUCUAUAAAUAUUUGGGGUUUUCUUCUUCUCUCUAUAAGCUCCAACUCGAACACCUUGGACUCUACUGUGAACCUGCUUCCUCUUCGCCUUUUUCGAGACCCCUCCUUAUCUUCAUCUCCCUCGCCGGCGUAAACUCGCCUUUUUCCUUCCUCACGUUCUCGCUCACCGCCGCGCUCACACUCUCUCUCUCGUUCUCUCUCUCCCAUUUUAUCUUGGAGGUAGAAGUCUUGCAAUAAAUACUUACUCAGAUAAUAUUAAUAUUUACUAUCAUAUUAUAUUUAUUUACUUAAUAUUAAUACAUGUUUGAUAUAAAGAAGAUUAAUAAAUUAAUAUUUAUAUAUUCUUUUAUAAUAAAUAAAUUAAUAAUAAAUUUAUUUAUAAAAUAUAAUUUUCUAAUAUCUUAUAAAGAAAAAUUUUAAAUAAAAAAGUUAUAGUUAAAUGAAUAGCUCUCAAUAUUAAUAAAUUAUGAAUAUAAAUAAAUUCAUAUUCAUGUAUUUUAUAUAAUAAUAAAUUAAUAAAAUAUAUUUUAUAAUACAUUCAUAUUCAAUUUUAUGAUUCUUAUAAUAUUAAUAUUUAUUAUAUUAUUAUAUUCAUUUAUCAUUAAUAUUUAAUAUUUAACUACCUUGUAUGAUCCACCAAUUCAGUUGACAGUUACUCAAUUGUCACUUAUUUAAGGUUGAUGGAUAUCUUUAGAGGAAGGUAAAUAUAUUAAUCCUAGUCUAUCUCUUUGUUAGUGUCAACAUCAACAUCAUUACAACCCCUUUACCUCUUUAUCUUCAAUCAGUACAAUCACUCAUAUCUGCAAAUCCAAUAUUAGUACAACCUCCUACCUUUUUAAACUCACAAUCAGUACAAUAACACAUUUCUUUAGACCUAACAUUAGUACAACCCUUACUUCUUUAAACCCAUUAUUAGUACCUACUAUAUCUUCAAACCCACCUUCAAUACCUGCCACCCAAUAUGUUGAUCACCUUUCAUUGCACCUUAAUGCUUCCUUAGCUACUCCAUUAAGACCUGAGUUUAAGACAUUAGUCAUACCCCUAGCAUAGAUAUUUGCACCAUUUUCUCUAUUACUACCAAAGUUAUCUAUAUUUGUCCUUGUACUUGUAGAAACUGUCACAUCUACUCUACUAGAUUUACCCCCAACCAUUCUAAGGGAUAGGUAUGGCCCACGUUAAUCUAGAUUGCUACCUCCACCACCUUUAUUUCUAGCUCCAUCAUGAAGAAAUGUUUAUCACAUGUGACAUGUAAUACCUACUACAAUUAGAGAGGGGCGACCAAAAAGGAAGAGAGUACCAACUAUACAUAAGUCCUCUUUCUACAAAGGCAUAUGAAAUUAUAUAUAUAUUUCCAUUAUAUAAAUGUUUAAUAGGUAAUUUUUUAUAACUUUGAUUAAACUAAUAAAAAUUAUAUUUUGUAGUAGACUUUUUAAAAUUAAUUUUAUUAACUAAUUUUGAAAUGUACUUUCAAGGUAUAUAUGUUGUGUGUAAAAAUAAGUCUUUUUUUUUUACAUGAAAAUUAUAAACAUAUGUGUGGACCCCGCAUUUUGGUUUAUGCGUUUCCACUCGAUGGCAAACUCGAUUUUUAUUUUGAAAAUGAUUUUAUUUGUUCAAAAAUGACUUGGAGUCGCCACUUAUUUUUGUUUUAUUUUUAAAGGGUAAACAAAAUAAGAAACAAAACCCUAAGUGUGACUUCUUAUUUUGGAAAAGGUGGUCUGUGAAAAACCAGAUCGGGUUCGAGGGUCAGUUUACUUAUCGGGAAGGUAUGGUACAGACCGUAGCACCCCUCUAAGUCCCUAAAGUCGGGUUUCUACUAAUGAGAUGAAGCAAUCAUGACAAUGAAUGAGUGAAUAAAUGAAUACCCAGAAUAAAUCAUGCAUACGUGAGAGUUAGAACAUGCAUAGACACUGAUCAAAGUGAAAAUGGGUACGUACCUGGGCAGUGAGCCACUAUGCGCUAUCAAGAGGGAGGGUUAGUGCACAAUUAAGGAAUAAUAGCAUGCACGUCAGAGAACAGGAUAAAUCAAUCAUGCAUGACAAUUAAAUUGGUCAAUCAAUCAAUUAAUUAUAAAGUCACUCAUGUUGGGCUCCCACCAAAGCCCGUUUAUUUUUGCAUGAAUUAAUUCCAUAAAUUCCAUUAUUCGAAAUUACGGAAUUUAAUUCAUGCUUAUUUCAAAACAUUUUUAAAACAAAAGAGAUGUAGAAAUUGUUUGCUAGAAGGAAAGAUGACAACAAAUUCUAAGGAUGAGAAAGCUAAAAAAAAAAAAAAAAAGAUUUAAAAUAACUAAAAACAGAAGAAUGUUUGAGAAUGAAAUCAAAGAUGAUGGUUUGAAACAUUAUUUUAAAAUCAAGCAGAUGAAGAUGUAAAUGGCACGUAUGGAAGCAUGAAGGAGAGAUGUGUACAUGGUGCCCCACGAAUCAUUGAUUUGGUUACUUCUGGGACAUGCUGAUCAAAUGCACCAAGGUUAGUGAUUAUGUUCCUCAUAUUGUGAAUGCCCAACCUCCUGUACCCAGAUAUCCCUCCAACUUUACUGGAAUCUCCAUGAUUGAAGUAAGUAGAUGCAAAUGAAUAAACAACACCAAACUAAAUGGUUAUUGUUCAGCUGCUAGCAUUAUUUUUUGGACUGAAAACAUCCCUCGAUGUGGAAGAAACACCAUUCUCUUAUGCGAGGAAGAGGGCUGCUGCUGUAUAUUCUAGGAAACAACAAGCAUGUCGCUGAUUCUGACCACAACUUUAGAGCUAUAGUUUAUCAAGAGAAUGUAAAACCAAAGGCCUAGGAAAAGACGGUGCCAUAAACAUUAAUUACCUAGAUAGUUUAGUUGCCAAUUCAUCAAGCCACUACGUGUUAACAAAUAAGUUUUGAUGUAAUGGAAACUCAUGAUGGAGCCUACACUGAUGCUUCAGCCAUAUUAAGACUAGCUGUUGUACUUGGAAACUUAGAUGUCAGAGCAAGAAAGAUAUUUUGUUGAACAGAUGAGGAUCUUGUGACAUUGCUUUCAACUAUCAUGAGUGUCUCUAUCAGAGUUGAAGGCUAUGUCUCUCCACUGAUCAAAGAUGACUCACCAAUGAGCAAACUUUGAACAACCAUGUUCAACCUAGGUGACGAAACUCUCCCAAGAUCAAGUUCAGUUCCAAGUGAAGAGAAAUCCUUAUCAAAUACAUCCUUGUGGAUGCCGCCUAUGAUACUAGCCCCAAAAACCAUGCCAUUGACAUCGUUGUGCUUGUUACUAUUGCCAUCUCUAUCUCACAUGUGAGAGCCCUUGACAAAAUCAAUCAAAAUAGGUUGUCUACCAAUUGACUUGAAGGCACGAACAGGUGAAUUCACACCACCAGACAUCAACUCCUUUAAUUUGGCCUUCUCCAAGUACUCCCAUCUUCUUUAGUUUUUACCAUUAUCUUUGUUGGAUUAUACUCCUAUACUAAUGUGGUCUUCAAAUUCCACAAAUAAGCUAUACCUGAACUGGAAACUGAGAGGAUGACUAAACCAUCAUCUUCAUUCCAACCAUGCUUGCAUUCAAAUACUACUGGAGGAUGUUUCAUGGAAAGAACAGGCCCUUUACUGACAGUCUUGCUAUUCAAAUCACAGUUCCACACUUGAAGAUGUUUCUCACCAAACCCAGAUGUAACAAUGGUAUUGGCAUCAUUAGAUAUCCAGAUACUCUGCACAGACUCCAAAUCAUUAGGGAACUUCAGAAGUUCUUUCCCAUUUUCCAAGCUUAGAACCCGUAUCUUGCUACCAGCUAUGGCUAACAUUUUCUCGUCGCUAGAAAAAACUAAAGAAGAGAUCGACUUCUUUGAAGCUUUGAACUCUCCUAUAAGUUCUCCAUUUUCUUAUUUCAAUGUUGAGACCAUUCCAUUAGUACCCACUACAUGAAGAAUACGCCCUUUAUUUGCAAAAGAAAGUCCCAUAAUUCCUCCAGGAUGGUAUCUGGAAGAUUCCCACUUCAUUUCACCAACAAAAAUAUCGACCACCAAAAUGCUCCCAUCAUUUGUGACAAGGGCCAAUAAUAAGCAUGCGCCAUGUUCUUUUCUACAUUUUUUUCCAACAAAACUACAUGUCAUACAAGAAUAACUCAUACUAGAGUCCACAUCUAGCCCCUUCCACUCUGCCACUAGACUUUGAUAACUUGUGUUCCAAAUUUUAAAUGUUCCGUCGGGAGAUAAAAUGGCGAGGAAAUCCCCAUUAGGAGUGAAAGACGAAAUAAUAGGCUUCAACUUCUUUCUCUCACCAUUACAGAGCAGCUUAAAGAGAAAAAAUAGAGAGAUAAGCAAAUUGUUUAAGAGGGAGAAAGAAGAGCUGCGGAGAAGACAAAACUCCAAAUGUUCCCAGGUUAUUAAACAAUGAUAUACUCCUGUCAUUUGAUACAUUUGCAAGUCGACCAGCCCGAACACUUGCUUUCCCUGGUGGACGGAAUGUCACGCCCCACACUUGGUCAGCAUGGUUGCUCAUUGUCUGCACGGUGGCCCUCAUGCUAAGGUCCCAUAGUCUUGCAGUCUUGUCACUUGAACCUGUGGCAAUUGCUGCCCCACCUGGACUCACAUCCACACUCAACACCCAGCUUGCAUGACCUGACAUGGCUCCAAUCAGGCUCUUUCACUCAGCAUCAUACAUAUGCACAGGGCCAUCAUAUUGUUGGGCUUUGUGGAGCCUAGUUUUGUUUGAUCCGGUUUGACAACCCGACCCGAAUAAUAUUGCAUGGCUUUUUAAUAGGAGAUUUAUUGAGGCCUGUUGGGCUCGUUUAGCCCAUUGUGGAACCACUUUUUGUAAUUAGGGUUUUUUAGUGUGGUGGAGUUGUCGUGUUAUAUAUAUAGAGAGAAUAUUGUAGCUGCUAGGUUGUACUCUGUAUUCUUCCCUGAUAAUAGUGAUAUCCUUGCAACUCCGUGGAUGUAGGCAAAUUGCUGAACCACGUAAAUACUGUCUUAUGCGUGUGAUUGUAUUUCUUUGGCGUGAGUUUUCUCUAAUUUUUUGUUUCUCACGGGUUGGGAAUUCAGUUUAAUUCUCUUCAACUGGUAUUAGAGUCUAGGGUUAGGUUUGAGUGGGAGCAAUGGCAGAGGAAGCAGGAAAGGCGUCUGGAAUAGAAAAGUUUGAUGACACAAACUUUGCGUAUUGGAGGAUGUAGAUUGAAGAUUAUCUCUAUGGGAGGAAAUUGCAUCUGCCUCUUUUGGGGACAAAACCUGAGAAUAUGAAGGCUGAAGAAUGGGCGCUUCUUGACAGAUAGGUUCUAGGAGUUAUUAGGUUAACUCUAUCUAGGUCUGUUGCACACAAUGUUGUAAAGGAGAAGACCACAACAGAUCUAAUGAAGGCUUUGUCCGGUAUGUAUGAAAAGUCGUCCGCAAAUAAUAAGGUGCAUUUGAUGAAGAAAUUGUUCAAUUUGAAGAUGGCAGAGAAUGCAUCAGUAGCACAACAUCUAAAUGAAUUUAAUACAAUCACAAAUCAAUUGUCGUUUGUAGAAAUUGAUUUUGAUGAUGAGAUUCGUGCUCUGAUCGUCUUAGCUUCUUUGCCAAACAGUUGGGAGUCAAUGAGGAUGGCAGUAAGCAAUUCUACAGGAAAGGAAAAGCUCAAGUACAAUGAUAUACGAGAUUUAAUUCUGGCUGAGGAGAUUCGCCGAAGAGAUGCAGGUGAAACCUCAGGAUCUGGUUCUGCCCUAAACCUUGAGACAAGAGGCAAAGGUAAUGACAGAAAUUCAAAUCGGGGUAAAUCAAAUUCCAGAAAUUCUAAUCGGAACAUAAGCAAAUCUAGAUCAAGCCAACAAGUACAAUGCUGGAAUUGUGGGAAAACAGGUCACUUUAAAAGGCAAUGCAAAAGCCCUAAGAAGAAGAAUGAAGAUGAUUCUGCUAAUGCUGUAAUAGAAGAGGUACAUGAUGCAUUACUUAUUGCAGUAGACAGUCCACUUGAUGAUUGGGUUUUGGAUUCAGGAGCUUCGUUUCAUACCACUACACACCGAGAAAUCAUACAGAAUUAUGUUGCAGGCGAUUUUGGUAAGGUGUAUUUGGCUGAUGGUUUAGCCUUGGAUGUUAUGGGUCUGGGAGACGUCCGGAUAUCGUUGCCCAACGGGUCUGUUUGGUUACUAGAGAAGGUUCGACAUAUUCCUGACCUGAGGAGAAAUCUGAUUUCUGUUGGACAACUUGAUGAUGAAGGACAUGCAAUACUAUUUGUUGGUGGUACUUGGAAGGUUACAAAGGGAGCUAGGGUAUUGGCUCAUGGAAAGAAGACUGGUACUCUGUAUAUGACCUCAAGUCCAAGAGACACAAUUGCAGUUGCUGAUGCAAGUACUGAUACAAGUCUAUGGCACCACAUACUUGGUCACAUGAGUGAGAAAGGGAUGAAGAUGCUGUUGUCAAAAGGAAAACUACCAGAAUUGAAGUCCAUUGAUUUUGACAUGUGUGAAAGUUGCAUCUUAGGAAAACAAAAAAAGGUGAGUUUUUUGAAAACUGGCAAGACACCGAAGGCUGAAAAAUUGGAACUAGUACACACUGAUUUGUGGGGGCCUUCUCCGGUUGCAUCCCUAGGAGGUUCAAGGUACUACAUCACUUUUAUUGAUGACUCAAGUAGAAAGGUAUGGGUUUAUUUUCUGAAAAAUAAAUCUGAUGUAUUUGAAACUUUUAAGAAGUGGAAGGCCAUGGUUGAGACAGAAACAGGUUUGAAAGUAAAAUGUUUGAGGUCAGAUAAUGGAGGAGAGUACAUAGAUGGAGGGUUCAGUGAGUAUUGUGCUGCACAGGGAAUUAGGAUGGAGAAAACCAUUCUUGGGACACCACAACAGAAUGGUGUGGUUGAGCGCAUGAACAGAACUCUCAAUGAGCGUGCUAGAAGUAUGAGGUUGCAUGUUGGACUACCAAAAACUUUUUGGGCUAAUGCUGUUAGCACUGCAACUUACCUGAUAAACCGAGGACCAUCAGUUCCCAUGGAGUUCAGACUUCCUGAGGAGGUUUGGAGCGGUAAAGAGGUGAAGUUUUCACAUUUAAAAGUUUUUUGUUGUGUUUCUUAUGUUCAUAUUGAUUCUGAUGCUCGUAGUAAACUUGAUGCAAAGUCAAAAAUAUGUUUUUUCAUUGGCUAUGGUGAUGAGAAAUUUGGCUAUAGGUUUUGGGAUGAACAAAACAGGAAAAUCAUCAGAAGUAGAAAUGUGAUAUUUAAUGAACAGGUUAUGUACAAGGACAGGUCAACUGUAGUGUCAGAUGUUACAGAGAUAGAUCAAAAGAAAUCUGAGUUUGUCAACUUAGGUGAAUUGAUUGAAAGUACUGUCCAAAAAGGGAGUGAAGAAGAUAAGGAGAAUGUAAAUUCACAGGUAGAUCUGAGUACACCUGUAGCUGAAGUUCAUAGAUCUUCAACGAACAUUAGACCUCCGCAGUGUUAUUCACCUGUUUUAAAUUAUCUCUUGUUGACUGAUGGUGGUGAGCCAGAGUGUUAUGAUGAAGCCUUGCAAGAUGAGAAUUCAAGCAAGUGGGAGUUAGCCAUGAAGGAUGAGAUGGAUUCCCUGUUGGGGAAUUAGACAUGGGAAUUGACUGAAUUGCCAGUAGGAAAGAAGGCUUUGCAUAACAAGUGGGUAUAUAGAAUAAAGAAUGAGCAUGAUGGUCGCAAACAUUACAAGGCUAGAUUAGUUGUUAAAGGGUUCCAGCAGAAGGAGGGCAUUGACUACACAAAUAUUUUCUCCAGUUGUGAAGAUGUCAACAAUUAGACUUGUACUUGGAAUGGUGGCUGCAGAAAACUUACAUCUUGAGCAGUUAGAUGUGAAGACAACAUUCCUUCAUGGUGACUUGGAGGAGACAAGAGAAUCUAGUCUGCAAACUAAGAAAGAGCUUGUAUGGCAUUAAACAAGCUCCUAGACAGUGGUACAAGAAGUUUGACAAUUUUAUGCAUAGAAUUGGGUUCAAGAGAUGUGAAGCUGAUCAUUGUUGCUAUGUUAAGUCUUUUAACAAUUCUUACAUCAUAUUACUGUUGUAUGUGGAUGAUAUGCUUAUUGCAGGGUCUGACAUUGAGAAGAUUAAUAAUCUGAAGAAGCAAUUGUCCAAACAGUUUGCAAUGAAAGAUUUGGGAGCUGCAAAGCAAAUCCUUGGUAUGAGAAUCAUUAGAGACAAGGCUAAUGGUACAUUGAAGCUUUCACAGUCAGAGUAUGUGAAGAAAGUUCUCAGCAGGUUCAACAUGAAUGAAGCUAAACCAGUGAGCACACCCUUGGGUAGUCAUUUCAAACUAAGCAAAGAACAGUCACCGAAGACAGAAGAAGAAAGGGACCAUAUGAGCAAGGUGCCCUGUGCCUCAGCUAUUGACAGCUUGAUGUAUGCUAUGGUGUGUACAAGGCCAGACAUUGCACAUGCAGUGGGAGUUGUGAGCAGAUUCAUGAGUAGGCCUGGAAAGCAGCAUUGGGAGGCAGUCAAGUGGAUUUUAAGAUAUCUGAAGGGUUCAUUAGAUACAUGUCUUUGCUUCACAGGUGCAAGUUUGAAACUGUAGGGUUAUGUAGAUGAUGAUUUUGCCGGUGAUAUUAAUAGUAGAAAGAGUACUACUGGGUUUGUUUUUACUCUAGGUGGUACAACUAUAUCAUGGACUUCAAAUUUACAGAAGAUUGUUACUUUGUCUACUACAGAAGCUGAGUAUGUUGCAGCAACUAAAGCUAGAAAGGAGAUGAUUUAGCUACAUGGUUUCUUAGAUGAAUUGGGUAAGAAGCAGGAGAUGGGCAUUCUACACAAUGACAGUCAGAGUGCAAUCAUUCUUGCCGAAAAUUCGGUCUUUCAUUCAAAGUCGAAACAUAUACAAACAAAAUACCACUUUAUCCGUUAUCUUGUUGAGGAUAAACUGGUAAUACUUGAGAAGAUUUGUGGAUCUAAGAACCCUGCAGACAUGUUGACUAAGGGUGUCACUAUUGAGAAGUUGAAACUGUGCGCAACUUCAAUUGGUCUUCUAGCUUGAGGACAGGAGGAUGAGUUGUAGGGAUAAGGGAUUGUUUCUUGGAGGAGAGCGGUUUGAUGUUGGUGAUUGGACUAGUCUCUAACAUAGUUCUGAAAGGCGCGCCUAGGCUCGGGGCGGUGCGACGCCACCCUCCAGCGCCUCGCCUGAAGGGAAGCGACGUCCCUUCACGAAGGCUAGGCGCGCAAGGCGCUCGCCUCCAACAAGGCACGAGGCGGUCGCCCGAGUCGCCUCUAACGGCCCGACCAGGUACGCGCUUCUUCUUCUUCUUCUUUUUCUUCUUUUUCCUCCUCCAGUCGAGAUGCAGAGACCCGCGCCAGCCCUAAUUUUUUUAUUUUUUUUUAUUUUCUAGGCCCAAAACGACGCCGUUUUGGACCCUGUGCACUUAAGUGAACAGGGACCAAAACGACGUCGUUUUGGACCCUGUUCUUUUUUAAAAAAAAAACUUCUUCCAUCCAGCCCCAUUUUCUGCUCUUUCUCCACCCGAGACCACUGCCAUUAUUUGCCCUAGCCUCUUCCGUGCUCGAGAAGUGAAGAAGAAGAAGAAAAAGAAGAAGAAAAAUAGGAGAAAAAUAGGAGAAAAAUAAAGGGGAAAUAGUCACGUACCUUCCCGACCUCGGUAUUUUUCUUUUUUCUUCACUUUUCUACUUUUUUUUUUUCCAUUCUUAUCUCAUAACUCUCAUUGGUAAUUUUUUUUAUAAAUAUAAAUAUUAUAUUUUGAGUUUUUGACAUGAAAAUUUUACAAAAUAAAAAUAAAUAAAUAAAAAGCACUCAUGCAUAUUUGUUGUUAAUGUGAUAUUUGAUAAUGUGAUAUGCAUUUUUUUUUCAAUUUUUUUUCUUAAUUUAAUUAUAAUUAUUUUAUUGUGGAGUAUAGAUAAUUUGUUUGCAAGAUGGAUAAUGAGAGUGAAACUCAAGUGGACUCUAGUGCAAGUGGAAGAAGAGAUCCGGGGUGGAAAUAUGGUCGUUUGGUUAAUGAAAAAGAUUUCAACACCAUCAUAUGCAUUUUUUGUGAUAAAGUAACCAAAAGAGGCAUAUAUAGACACAAACAACAUCUUGUUGGUGGAUAUAGAAAUGCUAAAAAGUGUAGAAAAUGUCCGGAACAUGUUAGAGAAAAAAUGGAAGAGUAUAUGAGUUCCAAGAAAAAUCAAAAAGAGCAAAUGAAUAUGGGGAGCGAAUAUGUUAAUGAAGAUUUUUUUGGUUUGGAAGAUGAAGAUAUUGGUGAAGAGAUUAAUAGUAGAACGAAUGUCACCAACAUUUCUAGUGGAGGUAGUAACCGAGGAGGAAGUGGUGGUAGGACGUUUUUUUCAAAAAAAAAACCAAGACAAAAAGGUCAUAUGGAUCAUUUUUUCACUCCUAAUGCAGAGAUGGUUGUUCAAAAUCGAAGGAGUAGAAAGAUGAAUCAAACUACCAUCAAUGAUGCCUACAAAAAGGAAGCAAGAGAAAGAGCUUGCAUGCUUAUCACAAGAUGGAUGUAUGAGGCUGCUAUUCCAUUUAAUGCAGUCACAUAUCCGAGUUUCCAACCAAUGAUUGAGGCUAUUGGCCAAUAUGGUGUGGGUAUGAAGGGACCAACUUUUCAUGAGGUAAGAGUUACUAACCUUAAGAAAGAAUUAGCUCUCACAAAAGAUUUGAUGAAAGAUCAUAUGGUGGAAUGGGGGAAAAAUGGAUGUUCAAUUAUGUCGGAUGGAUGGACCGAUAGGAAAGAGAGAACUUUGGUGAACUUUUUGGUUAAUUGUUCAAAGGGAACCAUGUUCAUGCAAUCUAUUGAUGCUUUUUCAAUGAUUAAGAUGGGAGAAAAGAUGUUUGAGUUACUUGACAAAUGGGUAGAGCAAGUUGGUGAGGAGAAUGUUAUUCAAGUUAUAACAGAUAAUCACUCAAGUUAUGUGAUGGCAGGUAAUAAAUACUAUUUCUUGAAUUUUUAUUUACUUUUAAAAUUUGAAUUAUUUAUCUUGAGAACUUAUGUAAAUUUAUUAUCUACAAUUUCAUAUGGGGAGGUUGUAAGAAUUAAAGCGCCCACAUUUGUAUUGGACACCAUGUGCUGCACAUUGCCUUGACUUGAUGUUGGAAGAUAUUGGAAAGCUACCAAACAUCAAGAGGACAUUGGAGAGGGCUAUAUCACUAAAUGGGUAUAUUUAUUAUCGCUCAGGGCUACUCAACAUGAUGAGGCGGUUUACUGGACAAAGGGAAUUGCUUAGGCCUGCUAAGACUCGGUUUGCAACUACUUUCAUCACAUUAUCGCGAUUGCAUGAACAAAAAAACAAUUUGAGGAAGAUGUUUACAAGCUCGGAUUGAUCAGAUAGCAAAUGGGCAAAAGAGCAGAAGGGGAAAACUAUAGCCAACAUAGUUCUAAUGCCUUCAUUUUGGAACACUAUUGUGUUUUGCUUAAAGGUUUCGGGUCCCCUAGUUCGUGUGCUUCGUUUGGUUGAUGGUGAAAAAAAAGCUCCUAUGGGAUACAUCUAUGAGGCCAUGAAUAGAUCUAAGGAUACAAUUGUGAGAAGUUUUAAUGGAAAUGAAAAGAAGUACAAAGAAAUCUUCAACAUCAUUGAUAAGAGGUGGGAGAUUCAGCUUCAUCGGCCUUUGCAUGCAGCAGGGUACUUUUUGAACUCGGAAUUCUUCUAUGAUAAGCCAGAAAUAGAGCAUGAUGCUGAGAUUAUGAGUGAUUUGUAUAAAUGCAUCUUAAGACUAACAAGAAACCCUGCUAAGCAAGAAAAAGCUGUGGCCGAAGUGAGUUUGUUCACAAAUGCCCAAUGACUAUUCGGGAAUGAGUUAGCUAUUAGGACAAGAAAGACUAGAGCACCAGGUUAGUUAUUUAGUUUUGUUUAUUUAAAUGAUUAGAUUGUAUUUUUGCUAAAAUAGGUGAAUUGUUUCACUAAAUUGUUAAUAUCUAUACUACAGCUGAAUGGUGGGCUGCAUAUGGAGCUUCAGCUCCAAAUUUGCAAAAGUUUGCAAUGAAAGUCCUCAACUUAACAUGCAGUGCAUCAGGUUGUGAACGGAAUUGGAGCAUCUUUGAAAAUGUAAGUGACCAAAUCCAAAAUAAUUACAAGUAAUAGUCUAAUAGAGUCUUGAAUGUAACUUAAAAGUUAAAACUUUAAAAUAUAUUUAUGAGCUUAUGAAUUUUUGCAGAUUCAUAGCAAGAGGAGAAAUAGGUUAGAUCAUCAACGCUUGAAUGAUUUGGUGUACAUUAAGUAUAAUCGAGCCUUGAAGAGAAGAUACAAUGAACGUAACACCAUUGACCCAAUUUCCUUGAAAGAUAUAGAUGAUAGCAAUGAAUGGUUGAUAGGGAGAAUGGAAGAUGAGGAUUCUCAUGGAGGUGCACAAGAUGAUUUUGUAUUUGAUGAUGACAAUUUGACAUGGGGUGAUGUUGCUAGAGCUGCUGGAGCUGAGGAGGCUAGGUUUGAUACUAGAGCUAGAGCUAGAGCAAGCUCAAGCAUAAUACCACCAACAAGGGGGAUAGCUUCAAGUUCUAGAACUUUGCCUUCUCAUUCACUAAUAGAUGAAGAUGAAGAUGGAGGCAUGGUUGAUUCAGCAGAUGAAGAAGAUGGAGAAGGCUACAAAUGUGGUGAUGGAAAUGAUGAUGAUGAUGAUUUUGUUGAUUUAGAGGAGGAGUGAUGAUUGCUUGUUGUGGACAAAUUUGUGAUUUAAUUGUUUUUUAAUGAUGUUUUUGAAUUGUGGACAAAUUUCAUGUUUUGGACCUUUAGGUUUGGAAACUUUGGAUUUGGAUAUGUAUUAGGCAAUUAGCAAUAUGGAUUUGGAUUUGUUUUUAUGUUUGGAGUUCUUUAUUUUUAUGUUUUUUGUUAUUUAAAUUGAAGUUUUUGAUGAUAUUUGAUGAUUUAUGUGUUUAGGAUAAAUAAAUGAUUGUUAAAUUUGAUUAUAUUAUAUAAAAAUAUAUAUGUAAAUUAGGGUGCGCCUCACUUCACUAAAGCCCGCGCCUUAGAUGCGCCUUGCGCCUUAGGCUCCAGGACUACUUUGCGCCUUGGUGCGCCUUGAGUCUUUUAAAACUAUGGUCUCCAAGUGGGAGAUUUGUUGGGCUUUGUGGAGCCUAGUUUUGUUUGAUCCGGUUUGACAACCCGACCCGAAUAAUAUUGCAUGGCUUUUUAAUGGGAGAUUUAUUAAGGCCUGUUGGGCCCGUUUAGCCCAUUGUGGAACCACCUUUUGUAAUUAGGGUUUUUUAGUGUGGUGGGGUUGCCGUGUUAUAUAUAGAGAGAGAAUAUUGUAGCCGCUAGGUUGUACUCUGUAUUCUUCCCUGAUAAUAGUGAUAUCCCUGCAACUCCGUGGAUGUAGGCAAAUUGUCAAACCACGUAAAUACUGUCUUGUGCGUGUGAUUGUAUUUCUAUGGCGUGAGUUUUCUCUAGUUUUUUGUUU